UUUUUGUUUGGUUUGGUUUGAUUUUAGAAAUUUAAAAAUCGAAUAAGUUGGUUUGGUUAUGAUUUUGACCAAUAAUCAAUCCAAACCGACCCAUGAACACCCCUAGUAUUUUGUUAAUGGAGUGAAAUUUAUUUUUGAGUGUUGAUUUCACCUCCAUUAACGGAGGUUAAGCUAAAAAAAAAACUAUAGAGAAGACAAUGUGGGAUUUUUAAUAACUUUAAAUAAUUUAAAGCUGAAAAAUUAUGAAAAUACCCCUAAAAAUUACGAAAAUGCCUCUCAAACGCGCUUAAAAGCGAAUGUAAUACACUUUUUUUGUUGAUUCAGCAAAAAGUGUCAAAAUGACACACUUUAUGAUUACUUGAGGUGCCAAAAGUGAGCGACAUCCACUUGAAGUGCGUAAGUGAAAGAUGAUGCAGGGCUGACGAUUGGUUUUGGCAAGUAUAAAUCAUUGCCUUGUAUCCCAAUUCCCACUGGAGUUACAUUCCAUUCGAGGGUUAAUAGUAUCACCGUUUCAAAGAAUAGAAAGGAACAUUUCCUAUAUCUCGUUUCAGAUCCUCGAGGAGUUUAUGACCCUGACAACUCGUUUCUGAUCCAAAAUGCUUUUACUAUAGUAUCAAUGUAUAUAUGACGCUAUUUGACAAAUUAAAAUUAAAAUAAAAACUUUUGAUAAAUAUCAAAAGACCCCCUUCGAACGUGUAGUCUUUUGACAUUUCCAUAACUAUAGGAUCAAAUCAUUAACAAUAAAAUGACAAAUGUAAAAUUGAAUAAUUUCCAAAUUCAACAACAUAAAUAUACUUUUUAUGGCAGAUGAGGAAAAGAAUGUCAUACAAAGUACUACCAUAUAGGAGUACAACAUUUUGUAAAGGAAUUUCUUUUUUCUUCUAAUUUUCCAACCAAACAAUUAGAGGAGAGUAGACUGACAGGUCAGUGACCUACUAUUUACCUUAUCAUCAGUUCACCUCUUUCUACCCCUUUUUAAUAACCUUUCCAAUGACAUCUCUUUGACCCUUUAUCAACACAGCCCACUUCUAUCACAUAAUAAUAUUCACUCUACAUAUUUUUCUCUCAUCUGAUUGAUGUUUCUUUAGGGCAAUAUUUCUAUAUAAUUUACCCAUCCAAUUAGUCAUGGCUGUAGAGCUCAUGAUGAAUUACAUGAACACAGCUAGGAAUACUAGCAGUAACUUCAUGACAAAUAUGGAUGACAAGGCAGUAGUUCAAGAAGCUGCCUCUGGUCUUGAGAACGUCGAAAAACUCAUCAAAUUGUUGUCUCAAAAACAAGGGAAUUUAACUUCUUUUCUAAAUCGAGAAAAAUCGCCCCCCCAUGGAGAUUGAAAUUGCAGCUGAUGCUGCUAUCACGAAGUUUAAGAAGGUAAAUUCUCUUCUGGAUCGAUUCAGAACUGGUCAUGCUCGGUUCAGAAGAGCACCUAUUGAUAAUCUCAAAAAAGAUUAUGUUGACCCUGAGGUUUAUUGUCUUACUCCAAUUCAACAACUCCCUCCAAGUGCUUACGACCUUAAUAAUAACCAAAUCUUCCAAAAUCCAAAACAAGAAUUGGUCACAAAAUCAAUUAAUUUUUCGCAUGCCCCUGAAAUUUGGUGCGCAAAUUCGUUUAAUAUGUCAACGUUAACAGGGGAAACAGAGAGUGAGCAAAUUUCAAAUCUUUCUCAGGUUUCUUCUGCUGUAAAGCCCCCUUUGUCGUCUUCGUCUUCUUUCAAAAUUAGAAAGUGCACUUCUUCGGAGAACGGAUUUUCUGGAAAGUGUAGUGGCUCAUCCGGUCGAUGUCAUUGCUCAAAGAGAAGGUACAAAAUUCGAUCUUUAUUCUAAUUGUUUGUUAGUAUUUAUUUCAGCAGUGUAUACGUAAUGAAGAGUAAUUUUUUUCUUGAUCUAUCUUAACAGGAAAUUAAGACCUAAAAGGGUAGUUAGAGUUCCAGCAAUAAGCAUGAAGUUGUCAGACAUCCCACCUGAUGAUUAUUCAUGGAGGAAAUAUGGACAAAAGCCAAUUAAAGGAUCUCCACAUCCAAGGUACAUGAGGAAAUCCAUAAAUUCUUUUAAUGGAUUUACCUUAUCAGUAAAGAAUUUUUAUACAUGUAAUAUUAUCCAUCCUAAUGAUUACUUGCCCCGUUUCUUAAGUUAUAAAUUCUCUUAGUAUAAGUAAUUAUCGGCAAUUAUCAUUCAAAGUGAUUUGAUUUCUUAGGGGUUGUUUAGUUUGAAGAUGAGCUAUGUUGUGAUUAGUCAUGUGGAAACGAGUUAUGUUGAGAUUAGUUACGUUGUGAUUAGUUAUUUUGAUAUUACUUGUUAUUUGUUGAAUUAAAAAUGACAUGCAUUGCCUAAUUUUUAGAGAAUAAUUGAUUGUUUACAGAAAUGACCACCUUAUUUAGUAGAAAAAGAAUUUGAACGACCUCAGUGUGUUUUUGUCAUUUUCUUUGUUUGAAGCUAUUUCUUCCUACGUAAUUUAUGUGAUAGACUAAUCCUUGAAGCGAAUUAAAUUAGAUAAACUCAAUAUUUUAUAAUUAAAAUUUUGAUAUUUAAACACAAUGCGACACAUAUUAUGAGUUGCCAUGUGUCUCAUGUCAACUUAAUGAAAAAACUGAUUUUUACAAUGUUAGUCAGAGUUGAUAUAGUUUGAAUCCAGAGAAAUGAAAAGUGUUACUAUACAUUAACUAGAAUAGAGGGAGUAAUUCUUUUCCUUUCAAAUCAUUUGUGUUUGUACUUCCCAAAAUUGCUUGUGCAUUCUUGAAACUAAAGAUCUUGUUUCUCAAUUAUUGCAGGGCAUAUUACAAAUGUAGUAGUGUGAGAGGUUGUCCAGCACGUAAACAUGUAGAAAGAGCUUUGGAUGAGCCAACGAUGCUGGUUGUCACGUACGAAAGCGAGCAUAACCAUUCCCUCUCUGUUGCUGAAACAAGUAGUCUCAUUUUAGAGUCUUCCUAAUUAGAUCAAAGUACUAGUGGGCAAUAUCAUGUUUGGUCAAAAAAGCAUAGCAGGGUAAAAGAAAAAAGGGUGACAAAUGUAAUCUAGUGUACUUCGUACGACUAGUUGAGUUAUCAGUUCAAUCUCAAAGGAGAUUCAUUUUAAGAAUAUACAGGAUCAAAAUAAGUACUAUUUUAGAUGGUUUUUGUAUAUGCAUGUAUAAUUCAGGCCGAUAGUAAUGAAGUCAGUUAAAACCACACUUCGCAUUGUAUUUGUCUGUGCAUAAGAAGCAUAUGUUUAUUCAUAACGUGCAAAAUGGCAGUACUAUAUUAUCUUAUGUGUAGAAAAUAUACAUUUAUUGGCUAUUAUUUUAAUACGCAAUAAAAUAUAAGAUCUGCGUGGGCGUUGUGAAUAAUAAUCCAAUGAAAAGAGAAUAAAGGAAAGGACAGGAGUGGAAGGCAAUCUGUUUCUUUAUGUUUACUUAUAUCAUUCUGCGAGUGGAAGGCAAUCUGUUUCUUUAUGUCAUUCUGGGAUAGGUCUUACUCUUUUGCUUUUUGUUUCUUAUUUUCCUUUUAUAUAGUUAUGUUCCAAACCGUUGAUGAACAAAAAUGAUGUACGGUUCACCGAGCUGCAAAAGAAAAAGGUUGUAAAACUUUAACUAGCUUCGGAUAUUUAUAUAUACCAAACUAACGACUACAAGGAUUCCAGAUAUGUGCUUUUGAUAGGCACAUUUAUCACUUAACUAUAAUUAAUUGACAUGUAUUUUCACUUUAAUCUAAACAUCAUGUAAUAUAUACUCUCUCUAGUUCAUUUUAAGUGGGUUGUUGAGAUUUUUUUUAAUUAUAGUUCAAAAUAAGUGAAUUUUUCAAAAUUUAGGAGAAUUAUUUAAACUUAUUUCAUAUUUCCUUCUUUAUAAUGAGAUUCUUAACUACUUCUCAAUUUCAAAUAAAAUAUAGUAAUCUAAAGGGUAAUAAUAGAGAGUAGUCUUUAAUUUAUGUCAUCAAAUAUUUUUCUUAAGAAAUGUGUUAUACCCAACAACUCAUUUAAUAUGGACAAAAGGGAAUAGUAAUUUAAGGUAAGAGAAGAAGAAAUGCGCACAAUUUGUGUCUGUGAGUAUACGUGUUGCCUUUUUUUUCUUUUAAACUCCUUCCUAGAAUUUCGGCUCAUUUUGCUCUCGUGAUAACUUGAACUCACGAAAUUAAAAUUGAAGAUGAAGAAUACUUUCGAGCAACUUAUGAUGUAAAACUGUUGGUUCUGGUGUUAGACUAGUAGUCGAGAAAAGUAGCAGUUUUGAUACCUAUGGGCUCAUUGAAGUUUUGGUACACAAGUCAAAAUUAGCAGAAAGGGCUAUUCAAGAGUUAUUAAAAGGUUCAAUUUUCGAAAGAUGGGGGACUAACAACCAAUCUGUUGUUUGUCUGCUGCCUCUUUUUUCUUUGUCUGCUGCCUCUUUUUUCUCCUUUCUCUGCUUAACGUCAAACCUCCUCAUACGGCUAAUCAUGUAUCGAAUUCACAAUUGGGGAUAAGAGACCUAACCAGAUUUGAAAUUUAAAUUUUAUGGAACCGGGAAAAGAAAAUCAAGACCCUACAAAAAACUAAUAAUAUUAAGCUCAGAAUAUUAUUGGUAUAAUAGAAAUAUAAAGAAAGAAUAGAUAAACUUAUAUCACAUCUUAAUAAAACAAAGACAGUUACUUAUAAGAUUAUUUGAGAUCUCUCCCGAAUCAAGAGAAGUUUGGACAGAACUACAACAAGUAGAUAAUAGAUUAUCCGAAGUCAAAACCCAAAUAUUUUACAUUACAAACGAACUAAGGGUAGACAAGAUUCUGAGACAAAAGUAUCCUUUUUAUUUGGCCUAAUGAGAACACCUCAUAGAAAUACAAAAUCGUUAAAAUAAUUCGAGAAUAAUUUGUAUAGUUUAUACUUAGAAUAUAAAAGACUAAAUAGUAAAAAAGAAGAUCUGAGAAGCCUAGAUAAUCUAAUCACCAUAAUAUCUGGCCUAGAGUAUGAAUUGAUAAAACACCUUAAGUCUAGAAAUAGCAUUUAAUGAAAAGACAUCCUUUUGCUAACAAUUUGCGGCUAAGAUAUUGGUAUUUAAAUAAAGAAAUAAAGAGCAGGGCAGAUAAAGUAGAACUAAAAAUAGUCUUGAGUAACUAUUUGAAAUUAUUAGCAACUCUAGAAACAUCACAAUCAGAAUCAUUCAAAGAAUAUUUAAAUGAAAUAAGAUGGGAAUUACAUGGAAUUAGAAGUGACAUAACAUAUUACAAUAGAAGGAUAAGUUAUCUAAAGAAACGGUGUAACAUAGUAAAUAUUCCUUUAGGAUAAAAAUAAGUAAAUUAAAACACAUCUGUUUGCUAGACAAGUUCAAAGACCAUACAAUUACUUAUAUAAAAACUUAAAACAUUUUAACAUAAUUCUAAAAAAGGAACAAAAUUUAAUAGAAGAAAAAAGAAUAGUAGAAUCAAUAGAUUUGCCAGAAGCAAUUAUAUUUUCAAACCACGAAAAACUUUUAGGCUGUAUAUACCACUUAAUCCUGCUAAAAAUUAAAUUAGAACAGAUUAGAUAUUCUAUAAAUUAUUGGAAUAUUUGAAUAAAAUCAAUUAGAGAAGAAUGCAAUAGAGAGACUUUUAGGGUAAGAACAUUACAAUAGAUUCCUUUAAGAAAAUAGAAUAUCUAGAUUUGCAAUUAAAAGCAGAAAAGAGACACGGACGAAUAAAAGAUGAUUCAUUAAUCAAAUGUAAUCACGGUAGUGGAGAAAAUAUUUUGCAUAGGGAAGAUUCUCAACUAAAUACUAUUAUAGAUCUCAUAAUAAAUCUAGGAGAAUCAGUACAAAGAGAAGACAGUAAAAUACUAAAGACUCUAGAAGUAUUGGAAAACCUGCAAAUUAAACAAAAGAAACUGUUAGAUAAAAUAGAACAUAACUUUGAUUUCCUCAAAAUUCAACAAAUAGAACUAGAAAGAAAAAUUAAAGUAAUAACAAAUAAGGAUAUAAAUUUUCUUAGUAUAAAUAACAUAGAAAAAGAACUAAAAGAAAUAUGUAAAGAAAUUACUCAAAUUAAAAAAAUAAUCCUCUUAUGAAUAACAUCCCUAUAAAUGAUCACCUCUACUUAGCAAUAUUACAAAAAGUGGCACGAAUUCAACCAAAUCUCGAAAGAUUAUUAGAUCAUCAACCGGAGGAAAAAGCAGACUCGACAAUAAUAAAAUAAAAUAAUAUUAUAAUAUUACUACUAUUAGAACUUAAUAAAAAUCUAGAAAAAGCAAUUGAAGAAAAAGCUCAGAUCGAACAACAAGCUAGUAUAGAAGAAUUAAUAGAACAACUAAAGAAAGUAGAAUUAACUUCUCAAAAGGAGAAAGAAAAGCUAAAUACUACUAAAAAAUCAUGGAUCUUUUUUCAGCAUCCCCAAGCAGAUCAAGAUCAGGUUUUACCCAAAAUAAUUUAACAAAUAAUGUGCUAUCUAGAAUAAUAAUUAGACCGAAAAUGUCUCCAAGACAACAGCUAGAAGAAAUUUUAGAUGUAGAUAAAGAUAUACAACUUUUUCAACAAAACAGAUUAAAAUUAAUAAGUGCCAAGACACUAUAUAAUGAAAGAAUGUUUUCAAUGACACAAUUAUAUUAACAUUAUAGAGAAGAACCAUUAUGCGUAAUUGGUAAAGAUAGUGCUAGUAUAAAUCUAAUAAGUUCAGAAUCUUUAAGACAAAUUGCUAAGUCAAACAUGAGCCUCAUGCACAUGGAAUUCAUAGUAGUAGGCCUAAAAGGACUAACCAGAAAAAAUCUAGGAACCAAAGUAUUAGUUACAAUCUAUGAUAGUAGAUGGUCAGACUAAAGAAAAUCUAUAAUUGGAAUAACAGAAGUAGACAUGUCAACAAAUGGAGGACUUUUUUUAUUGUAGUCUAGACUAUAUGAUAAACUAUCUAGAAUUUGGAAAAUAUAUAAAGAUAGAAAUCCAGACUAAAGGUUAUGAAGAAAUGGAUAAUGAAAAUAAUUUAUUAAUAUGUGUAUGAUUUAUAGAAAAACUCGCCACUAAUAGUAGUACAAAAUUUAAACUAAGAAUAGAUGAUGUAGUAAGUUUAAUGAAAAAUAAAGGUAUUAAAUUAAUGAAAUUCCUAGAGAUAAAUUUUGAAGAAUAUGCAGGACUAGAAUGAAACUUAGAAAAAUUUACGAAGAAAGAAAUACUAAGGCCAACCGAUCAUUUAAUAUAUAUAAAUACUAAAGGAGAAACUCCUGUAAGAUUCACAGUCUACCAAUAUACAAAUGAAAAAAAAACUGAUGAAGAAAUUGAAGAAUGUGAAAAUACUAAUUUUAUGAAUAUAGAAAUAUUAGAAGAAGGUUUUGAAGUAAAUAAAGUUAUAAUAAAAGCAGAAGCCCUAUACAAAAUAAAUAACGAUAGAAAGUUCAAAUGUAUAGGCUGUAAAAUGAGAAAUUUUAAUCUCGCCAAAGUUAAAGAAUAUUUUAUAAAUUGUGAGUUAAGAACAGAUAAUUAUGGUUAUACACAUAAAAAGGAACGAACAUGCAAAGACUCAGAAUCAAUUUAUAGUGUAGACAAAAGUAUAAAAGAAUUUAUGGAAAGUGCGGCAAGUACUGCAAGCCCUUUCCAGAGAAUAACCGAAACGCAAAGAGUAAAUAUAACAACAGAAAAUUUACCAAGAUAUAGAGUAUUUAGAAUAAACCCAGACACUCAAGUUGAACAAGGCAUAAAACCUAGAGGAAAAAGAAUGCCAAUAGAAGAACCCAUUAGAUUAUAAGAAGGUGGUAAUAAAGAAAAAAUUUUAAACUUACCAACUUAUGAUCCUCAGGCAUGGAAUAAUGUAAUAGACAUAUGAAAAAAUGUAGUUGUAGCAGACUACAUACAACAUAUACAGGGGAAUCAAGAAUCAGAUGUAGAAAUUAUGUAUAGUUAUUUAGAAACAUUUCUAGGAGAAAGUACUAAAGUACUAUGGGAAGCAUAUAAGACAUUAUUCCCACAAGAUUUUCAGAAAUUAGUAGAGCUAGGUUCAAAUCCAUACAAUUUUGUAAACAAAGUACAUACUCUACUAACAGGAGAAGAUCCCAAUAGUGGAUUAGUAGUAUUACAACAAAAAACCCUAAUAAAUUUAGAACAACUAAGUAUUAGUAAUUGGUCAAGGAUUAAAGAAUUUCUAAAUGACUACGUUUAUUAUUGUACAAUUAGUGGAAACUCGUUUGAUUAGACUCUUGGAGCUAGAUUAUUUAAAAAAUUAUCAGGAGCCCAAGGAAGAGAGAUAAAAGAAAAAUGGUCCAAAAGAGAGGAGUAAUACAAAAUUCAAACAAUCAAUGAUCAAUAGGACAAAGAAUACAACAUGUAAUGGAUAUAUUACAAGAAAAAUGUACAAAUAUACAGAUACAAAAAUAAUUAAAAAGAAGUGAUACAGAUUUUUGUAAAAACAUAUAUACUACACAAUAUUAUGAUCAAGAUUAUAAAAAGAAAAAAUAUGAAAAAGGCAUACAAAAAAGACUAUCACCCUAGGAAGAAAUAUUAUUUAAGAAGAUCACACGUAAGAAAGCCAUACCUAGAUAAGAAUAAACAUGUAAGAAAAUAUAACACUAGUAGAACCUACAAAAAUAGAUUAGAAUGCUUUACCUGCAGGAGUAUAGAGAACUUAGCAAAUACUUGUCCAAAAAGAAAUAAUAGUAGAUCUAGAAAUGCAAAAUUAAUAGAAGAUGUAAAUGAAAAUUUGAUAAAUAUAGAUGAAUAUAUGUCAGAUAAUGAAAGUAUAUACUCCAUCAGGAGUAUGGAAGUGUUUGAAGAAGAAAAGUAUAAAUCUGAUUCUUCAGAUUCUGGAGAAGAGGAAGACAAUUAUGGUUUAGUAAAUUUGAUAGAAGAAUGUGAACAUGAAUUUGAGGAAGAAAAAGGAUUAGACAGUAACCAGUGUUUUUUUAGUAAAUGGUUUCCAAGUAAAAACAAAAGGGCAAAAUGUAGGAAAUGCUAUAAGGAAGGAUGCAUAAAAUGUAUAAGAAAAACUUCAGAAAUCCUAGAAAUUCCAAAAUCAAUAAAUAAUUUAAAUAAUUUUUACACUAAGGAACCAAUAACCAGAACAACAGAAGACAGAAUAUUGGAAUUAGAAGAAAGACUAAAAAGAUUAGAGAUAAGAGUAUACAGUAAAGAGAUAAUCAGAGAAGAAGAUUUAGUAGAGACAGAAUUAUUAAAUACAUCUAUCAAAAAUAAUAAAGUUAAAUAAAAAAAAUCAAUGAAUAUAUCAUUUGAAGGAAUGGUAUGUAAUGAAGAAAAAAAGAUAAGUACAGUCAAAGUUUUAGCAAGAAUAAAAAUUCAAGACUAUGAGUUCGAAACAUUAGCUAUAGUUGAUUCAGGAUGUACAAAAAGCAUUUUAAAUAAUAGAAUUUUACCUUUAAAAUUAAUUAAAAAAUUGUCAAAACCUCAACAAUCCAUGCAAAUGGACGGGACCCAUAAUACCUAUACAAACUAUAUACCAAAAGCAAAGGUAAGUUUUAUUAAUACUUGUGAAAAAUUCUACAAUCCAUCCAUCAUAUACAGUCAGUGAAAUACUAGUUAGAGAUAGUAAUAAUAAGCAGACGAAUAAACAAGAAACAAGUAAUUAAAGAAGAUAAGCAGGUUUGAAAAAUAAAGCAGAGUUAAAGUGGAUGUUUUAUAGAAUGGUGUAAAUCCUACUCAGUACUGUCUCCUUCGUUGUCCUUAGUUUAGUGUAAGUGGACAAAUUAUAAAGAUCAAAGUAUAUUUUCUCCCAACAAAAUAAAUAAUCAUUUUUGUAUUUUUUGAUAUCUUGACUUUUUUAAUUUAUACCCUGUUCAUCUCUUUCUCUUCAGUUUUAGGUAUUUAGCAAUGACUUUUUUAAUCAUACCCUGGAAUGACACAACAGUCCUUUCAAAUCAUUAUUGGACUUUUUUAAUUCCCUAGGAAUUUACAGAUUAAUCCAUCAUUCUUGCUAAACAUUAAGAGAAUAACCAUAUAAUAGGGGUAUAUUUAUAAGUAAAUUACAACUUUACAAAAUGAAAAAAGUAAAUUACACAUUUUUACAAGAUCGAAAAACUGGCGGUAAUCCGCACGGCUAUCUAGAUCUAUAAUAAAAAACACAUUACUUCUACAAGAUCGAAAAGCUAGAGGUAAUCUGCGCGGCUAUCAGAUCUAUAAUAUUUAAAACACAUCUGGAAGAAAAUAUGAACUUGAUAUAAUUCAACAUAAUUUACAAACUAGGGAGAAAAAUACAAUGGAUCUUAUGUAACGACUACUUACAUAUCUUAAGGAAGAAGUGAGGUUUCCCUUUCGGGAGUCCCCAGAAAGCUUAACAACUACCGGAAUGAAGGAAUAAAGGACUAAUAUACACUACACACUCUUUUUUUUUUGAACAAACUAAGAAACUUUAUGAAUAAAAACUUUAGAAGACUAUUUUUCUCACUCUGGAUUAUUCUCUUACUUCUCUCUAGCUAUAUGUCUUUAAGUCAUCCAUAAGGUGGGCCCCACAGUCACAUGGCUUCAAUGUUCUUGAUAAAAACUUUGGCAAGUUGAGUGGGUCCCACGAUCACAUGUCUAUGUUUCCACUUUAUCUCCCCUCCGUCUAUUUAUUUCCCAUUUAUUCAUCUGUUAUAUCAUUGCAUACGUCUCUUAUUUUGUAUUUUUGUAGAUAUCGACAUUGCCUACGCAUCCAAAUUAUGUAACGCUUCUGAGUCGAAAUCCAUUCCUGAAUCAUCAUCUGCAUUUGGGUCUUAGGCAAAUUGAUCCAUGGACGGAUUAUUGUCUCGAUCAUACUCAUCACUAUCUCUGUAUGAUAGUCCUAGUCUUGUUCCCAUUCUGGGUGAUCUUAUUUCUUCUCUUGUAAUUCUGGAUCUUUGCUAUGACAGUUCUGGAUUCAUUGCUAUUUCUUUGGGCAGUUGUUCUGCUAAUAAUUGUUUUAGUGAAUCUACUACUAUUUUUUCUAUAUUUCUUUUUUUAUUUUUCCUUUUUUCUUAAGAAAAAACCUUUCUUAGUCUUGGAAAAACUUCCUUCAUCUAUUGUCUGGGUACCUGUGGUCUUGAAACUGGUUGGGAGUAUUCUUCCUAUACUUUUUGGCAAAGUGUUAGCCGUCAACGAAUUUGAUGAGUCUUUACCAGCUAUUAUUUAAGCUGGACUAGCUAUAUAAUUACCCGAUACAGUAGGCCUUUCUAGAUUCAUUAGGGAAUGCACACCCAUUAACGGAUUUGAGGAGUCUUUACUAGCUACCGUUUGAGCUGGACUAGCUGUAUCUUUACCCGAUACAGUAGGUCUUUCCAUCUUUGAAUAAGAUGGAGAACUUUUUGGGAUUAGUUAAGUCUUAAAAAUUUGCUGAGUCUGUUGUGAUAGUUCAUAAUGAAGAAUUUUUAUACAAUCUUGUAAAAUACUUAUAUGUUCCGACAUUUGUCAUUUUUCAUUUAUAAGGUUUUCAUUAUCUUGUUUUAAAAUUUCAUUGGCGUGAUUUAGUCUUUUAAAAGAUUCAGUCAUGGAGGAAUAAUGAUCACAAAAAAUAAUUUUGUCUGUCUUUUUUAAUAUUAUAUUGGGGGAACUUCUUUUAUAUUUGGUCUUAGAGCUAAAGUAAUAUAAUAAUUUGGCCUUAGAUUUCCACGGGCAUAAUCUAAUGCCUCUAUUAAAUCAUUAAAGCCUUUAUAGAGAGAGGCUGUAUAGUCCUUUAGAACUGAAAUAAAAUAUCUAGGGUCUCUAGGUGUCUUGUUGUAGAAAAUUCAUAAAUUGUCUAUCAGGCAGAUCUGUGGUUUGUCCACCCUUACAUCUGGUCUAAGUUUGAAAGUCAAAUUGGAUGGCUCAUAACUGAUCAGAUUGUGAGGUCCGAAGAUCAGCCUUUCUAAUUUCGGAUGUUCCAACAUUGUUAGUGGCCUGUAAUGAGUGUUGCUUAGUAGUAUCUUUAAGUAGUCUUAAGAGGAUGAGGCUUGUUCCUUUCCUUUGUCUUUGCUUGUGUACAUCCUGAAACAAAAAUUGUUAGUUGUCCUCUUUUAUUAGUCUACUUAGUUGAUCUGCUAGGUUAUUAUCCUUUCCUUUAAUAUGUUCAAAAAUAAUAUUGUAUGACAUCUAAGAAAUUUAACCACCUCCUUUUACUACUAUUAUUUUCUGAUAGAAUUUUACUAUAGCCUCAUAAUCUGUUCUUACUAAUAUUUCGGGUUUAUUUAAUAUAUAAAGCUUAAAACUAUUUAAACCAUAAAUUACUGCUAGUGUUUCUGUAUCUAUACUACUUAGAUUAGUAUUUAUUUCUUAGUAAAUUUUUCUAAGUUCCAUUCUAGUCCGGCAUAGUCUUUGGAAUUUAUUUUUAGGGGUUUCAUUAAUUUAAUACCUUUAUUUCCCAUUAAACUUACUACAUCAUCUAUUCUUAGUCUAAAUUCUGUACUACUAUUAGUGGCGAGUUUUUCUAUAAAUCCUACACAUAUUAAUAAAUUAUUUCCAUUAUUCAUUUCUUCAUAUCCUUUAUUCUAGAUUCCUAUCUUUAUAUAUUUUCCGAAUUCUAGAGAAUUUAUCAUAUAGUCUGGACUACAAUAAAAAAGUGCUCCAUUUGUUGACAUGUCAACUUCUGUUAUUCCAAUUAUAGAUCUUUUUGAGUCCGACCAUCUACUACCAUAGAUUGUAACUAAUACUUUGGUUCCUAGAUUUUUUUGGUUAGUCCUUUUAGACCUACUACUAUGAAUUCCAUGAGCAUGAGGCUCAUGUUUGACUUAGCAAUUUGUCUUAAGGAUUCUGAACUUAUUAGAUUUUUACUAGCGCUAUCUUUACCAAUUAUGCAUAAUUGUUCUUCUCUAUAAUGUUUAUAUUAUUGUGUCAUUGAAAACAUUCCUUUAUUAUAUAGUAUCUUGACACUUAUUAAUUUUAAUUUGUUUUGUCGAAAAAGUUGUAUAUCCUACAUCUAAAAUUUCUUCUAGCUGUUGUCUUGGAGUCAUUCUUGAUGUAUUAUUAUUCUAGAUAGCACAUUAUUUGUUAAACUAUUUUGGGUAAAGCUUGAUCUUGGUCUACUUGGGGAUAGAGGAAGAAUUAUUAAAUACAUUUGUCGAAAAUAAUAAAGUUAAACUGAAAAAAUCAAUGAAUAUAUCAUUUGAAGGAAUGAUAUGUAAUGAAGAAAAGAAGAUAAGUACAGUCAAAGUUUAGCAAGAACAAAAAUUCAAGACUAUGAGUUCCAGACAUUAGUUAUAGUUGAUUCAGGAUGUACAAAAAAAUAUUUUAAAUAUUAGAAUUUUACCAUCAAAAGUAAUUAAUAAAUUGGCAAAACCUCAACAAUCCAUGCAAAUGGGCGGAACCCAUAAUACCUAUACAGAAUAUAUACCAAAAGCAAAGGUAAGUUUUAUUAAUACUUGUGAAAAAUUCUAUCAACCAUCAUAUACUCUUAGUGAAAUACUAGUUAAAUAUUUAAACAUAAAAGCAAACUUUGUCCUAGGAUUAGAUUUUAUGAUGCAAAAUAAUGAUGGAUGUUUUGUUACAAAAAAAUGGGUAAUAUUCACUAGCAAUUUCACUCACUCACCAAUACAGACACAACCCCUGCUAAAUAAAUAUCGUUUCCUUAAAGAUAAGACAGAAGAAAGAAUCGAAAGCUCAAAUGAUCAAAUAAAAUAGAAAAAAACUCUAGAAUAUGAUAAAGGAGAAAAUUGUACUUGUAAUGAUAAUAAAAAGGUAACAAUGUAUGAGGAAUUACAAGAUCUAUUAAUAGUAGAAGAAAUAGAAAAAGAUUACACAUUAAUAGAACUAGAUACAGAAUUAUACAGUUUUAGGAAAGGUAUACAACAGAUAGGGGUAAUCAAAGAUCAAAAAGACCUAGAUAAAAUAAUACAAAUCCUAGACAAACUAAUAGAUGUGUUUUCAUUUACUUAUUUUUAUCCUAAAGGAAUAUCAUUGCGUGUGAGAUGUGGCCGUCAUAGCUUCCAUCUCCAGAAGAGUCAUUGUUCUGCUUGUCCUUAUCCUGCUGCUCGUAAAAGAUUAUACAACUGAAGUGUGAAGGCAAUCCAUAGAAAGACAACUGGUACUGGACGCAUGAGGUACCUUCGCAACGUCACUCAUCGAUUCAAGACUAAUUUAUGAAAAGGGACUGAAGUAGCUCCAAGGAAGAAGGCUGCAACAGCUUCUGCUUGAAGCCCUUGAAGAGAGUAAUUAAGGAGGGUACUUUUAAUGGUAGCUUUAUUUUGGUAUUCAAGUUUUAGAGAGCAAGGGAAUUUUGGGAAAGCUUAUUUCUGUUAGAAGUAUUUAAGUUUUGGAAAUGUGUUGUUAAAAUUGUCCUUCUGAUACAGAUUUUAUUUUAUAGGCUGCUUUCUAUUUUUUGUUUUUUUGAACGCCUUGUCCAUUUGCUUAUGUUUCGUUAAAUUGAGAAUCUAUGUUUUUUGAGCUCAUAAUUUUGCAAUUUUUACCCAACCUGUGCCACCAAAAAAAAAGAAGAGAGAGUGUGUAGUGUAUAUUAGUCUUUUAUUUCUUUAUUCCAGUAGCUGUUAAGCUUUCAGGAAACUCCCGAAAGGGAAACCUCACUUCUUUUUUAAGACAUGUAAGUAGUCGUUACAUAAGAUCAUUGUAUUUUUCUCCCUAGUUUGUAAAUUAUGUUGAAUUAUAUCAAGUUCAUAUUUUCUUCCAGAUGUGUUUUAAAUAUUAUAGAUCUGAUAACCGUGCGGACUACCGCUAGCUUUUCGAUCUUGUCGAAGUAAUGUGUUUUUUAUUAUACAUCUGGCUAGCCGUGCGGAUUACCGCCAUUUUUUUGAUCUUGUAAAAAUGUGGAAUUUACUUUUUUUAUUUUGUAAAGUAGUAAUUUACUUAUAAAUAUACCCCUAGUAUAUGGUUGUUCUCUCAGUGUUUAGAAAGAAUGAUGGAUUAAUCUGUAAAUUCCUAAGGAAUUAAAAAAGUUCGAUAACAAUUUGAAAGGACUGUUGUGUCAUCCCAGGGUAUGAUUAAAGAAGCUAUUGCUAAAUACCUAAAACUGAAUAGAAAGAGAUGAAUGUGGUAUAAAAUUAAAAAAAUCAAAAUAUCAAAAAAUGCAAAAAAUAAUUAUUUAUUUUGUUGGGAGAAAAUACACUUUGAUCUUUAUAACUUAUCUACUUAGACUAGACUAAGGACAAAGAAGGAGGAAGUACUGAGUAGGAUUUACACCAUAUUGUAAAACAUCCACUUUUACUCCGCAUUAUUUCUCAAACCUGCUUAUCUGCUUUAAUUACUUGUUUCUUGUUUAUUUGCCUGCUUAUUACUAUCAUUUGUUUAAUCUCGGUUUAUUAUUGGUAUCAGAGCUUUAAGAUUAUAGGAGACUUUAUUAUAUAUGGUAUCAAGAACUGAGAAAAGAAAACCAAGACCCUACAAAAAAACUUAAAACAUUUUAACAUAAUUUAACAUUUUACAAUUACUUAUAUAAAAACUUAAAACAUUUUAACAUAAUUCUAAAAAAGGAACAAAAUUUAAUAGAAAGAAACAAGAAUAGUAGAAUCAGUAGAUUUGCAAGAAGCAAUUGUAUUUUUAGACCAUGAAAAACUUUUAGGCUGUAUAGACUACUUAAUCCUGCUAAAAAUUAAAUUAGAAUAGAUUGAAUAUUGUAUAGAUUAUUGGAAUAUUAGAAUAAAAUCAAUUAGAGAAGAAUGUAAUAGAGAGACUUUUUGGCUAGGGUAAGAACAUUACAAUAGAUUCCUUCAAGAAAAUAGAAUAUCUAGAUUUGCAAUUAAAAGCAGAAAAGAAACAUAGAUGAAUAAAAGAUGAUUCAUUAAUCAAAUGUAAUUGUGGUAGUGGAGAACAUAUUUUGCAUGGGAAAGAUUCUCAACUAAAUACAUUACAGAUCUCAUAAUAAAUCUCGGAGAAGCAGUACAAAGAAAAGACAGUAAAUACUAAAGACUCUAGAAGUAUUGGAAAACCUACAAAUUAAAUAAAAGAAUCUGUUAGAUAAAAUCGAACAGAACUUUACCAGCUCAUGAUCCUCAGGCAUGGAAUAAUGUAAUAGACAUAUAAAAAAAUGUAGUUGUAGCAGACUACAUACAACAUAUACAGGAGAAUCAAGAACCAGAUGUAGAAAUUAUGUAUAGAUAUUUAGAAACAUUUCUAGGAGAAAGUACUAAAGCACUAUGGGAAGCAUAUAAGACAUUAUUCCCAUAAUAUUUUCAAGAAUUAGUAGAACUAGGUUCAAAUCCAUACAAUUUUGUAAACAUAUAUAUAUAUAUAUGUAUGUAUGUAUGUAUAUAUACUUUUAUAAAUUUGGUUUCUAUAUCAAAAUUUGAUUUACACAGUUUUUUGGAUAUUUGGAGUGUAAAUUCAGUGAUGCCAUACAUUGGCAGGCGUAGAAGUAAGAUUUGAUACACAAGUUGUCUUUUAAGAGAGAAAGAUUCCGGUAUCCUGGGUCUUUGAUCCAAGGAGAUGGGGAGAUUGAAGAUGAUGUCACACAUCAUAUCUAUGUGGCUUGUAUGAAGUAGAGGCUUUCGUCUAGUGUUUUAUAUGAUAAAAAAGGUACCACCAAAACUUAAAAGUAAGUUCUAUAUAGUGGUGAUUAAACCAAUUUUGUUGGUGGGAAAAAAGUAUUGGCCAGUCAAGAAUUCUCACAUUUAGAAGAUACAAGUGGUAAAAAUGAGGAUGUUGAGAUGUAUGUGUGAUCAUACUAGGAGCGAUAAGAUUAGGAAUGCGAAUAUUCAGGAUAAAGUAAGAGUGCAUCCAUAUAGGAUUAGGAAUAACGAUAUCAGAAUAAAUUAGGAAUAACAUUCAUGGUGGAUAAGAUGAUAGAAGAGAGACUAAAAUGGUUUGGAUAUGUGAAACAGAGAUGUGCAAAUACUUAAGAGAGGAGGUGUGAGAGGUUGCAUAUAGUAGGGACGAGGAGAGGCAGAGGUAGACUGAAGAAAUGUUAGGGAGAGGUGAUCAAAUAGGAUAUGAUAAGUCAUAAUCUUAACGAGAACAUGACAUUAGAUAGGAGUAGAGGCAAAUAUAAAUGCAAAUUUUAGGGCACGAAAAACCCACGAUCAUUUUGUUAAACUAGAUAUUUUAUGUACAUAUUUUCUAAAAUUGAUCUAAUAUUACCCGUUAGCACCCAUGGUACAAAAAGACUUGUUAGUGAACUUGGUUUAAAGCUUAUUUAUUUAUUAAGAGGAAUAAUGCUCAAUUCCCACGUAACACUUUUUUGUAAUAAUGCACCAUACUCUAGAAAUUCUUGAAUCGCCUCUAGAUAGGAGGGUGUGGCGAUCGCAUAUUAGGGUAGAAUAUUAGAAUAUAGUUGAGCAUUGUCUUAAUAUUAGUCUAUUAUUCAGUGUUUAGUUUGGUGGUAGUGUAAAACAUUGUGUCUGUUAUAGGAUUAGCUUAUUCAUGUAGUCUUUCACUUUUGAUAUUUGUUUAUAAUCUGUUGUUUACUAUGUUAUGGCUCUACAUUGUUGUUCGAUUAGUUUUUAUGUUUUACCUCAUCGUCGCUUUUAUUUUCAUUAUUUUGAUUUGCUUCACCCGAGUCCAAGGUUUUUCAUAAAUAAUUCAUGUACCUCCAAAAGGUAGAGGUAGGGUAUAUGUAACUCUACCCGUCCCAAACCUUACUUUGUGGGAUAUCACUGGGUAUGUUAUUGUUGGUUUCCAUAUCAAAAGUAUUUAAUUCAGAUAAAUCCAUUAACAUCAAGGCUUAAGUUGUAUCUACCCUAGGAUAGAGAUGAUAGGGAAAUAUAGAUGUGCAAUUGGCGAACUAGUUCAGUCCUAAUUUGAAGAACUUAAGUCCGCUCUGCUCCAUCAACAUGGGCCAACCAAAAUUACAAUACUUAAAAGUUUGAUCAAAACUAAAAUCAAACUACCAACAAAAUAGAAUUUGUCUCUGAAUGUUGAACCAUCACUGGUGAUAUUUCUACACGUCUUAAUAACUCACGUGAGUUAUACCUGAUUUUUGCCUGUAGAUGGACCAGGUUUCCCUAAUGUGUUCCAAUAGAAGUAGAAAAGAUAGUAAAAAAUUAAAGCAAUAGUUUUAUGUGGAAAACAUCUGGCGCAAAAAAGGUGUAAAAACCACGACCUAUACCCCUAUAAAUAUAACCCCAACUUUACUUAAUACAAUGAGCCUCUCAAUAAAAUAUUACAAACACUAUAACCUAAGGGAUUAUAAACUCUAAUUCCUGAUGUUCAACAAUCUCCCUAAACCAUUAAAAUCUAUUUCAAGUUCCCCCCUUGAAAAUCAGAUUACAAAACUCUAGCAACCCUAGGAACUAACUCUAAUUCCUAAAAACACAUAAAUCCCCAAGGUUUAUGUUCCUAAGUCUUUGAGUUAUCCCAACUUGAAGAAUAAACUCCUAAAUCAGUUUAUAACAUAUUGACACUAAGAAAGCAUGAAAAUUACAACUCAAUAAAUUUCCUAUAUACAAUAACAAGAAUAGAAGACUGUUAGACACAUAAAUGAAACAAGUUAUUCAAUCUGAUUCAUUAUAGUAGGCUGGACUUUGAUAGGUAGGCAGAACUUUCUCAAAAAUUACUCUUUCUUAUUUGCUUAUGUUCUACCUUUUUUUCUCUCAGUAUUAGUGUAUAUAUUUUAUUUCGAAAGACAUUGAAUAUUUAUAACUCCAAUCAAGUAGACUUCUAACUCCAAGGGGACUCUCAUUCUUGUUGGACUCUCUUUUUGAGUAUUGUAGUCAAACACUAACUCUCUUUUUCAGCAUAUGAUGAUCUCCUUAUGUUUAUCUAAAGUAACAAGCUUCUAUUUUUUAUUUUUUCACAUGUGAUUUUAUCCGCAAAAAGUUCUCUUGCACGUUGAACUCUUUUGAAGUAGAUUUUCAUGAACUAACAAUAAAUACUUGUUCUAUGAUCUCUUGUCAAUCAUCAAAACUUCACAAGUCCUAAUAAAUUUUCCCCUUUUAAUGAUGACAAACUCAACACCUUGUGUAUUUCAUUUAACUACAAAUAUCUUGACUUGUGAAAUCUAAAGCUUAAAAUACUUAAAUGAGCCAAGUUAGUUAACUAGGUUAUAAAGUCUACACAACCCUUAUCUUCUCUCUUUUUACAUUAUAGAGAGCUAUUUCAACCAUAUGAAUAGCAAAGAAUUAUGAAUUCUGCAUAAUGGAAUAGGUAAUAGCAACAUAUUUCAUAUACCUAUUUCACUACUUUGUUAAUCAUCAAAAUCUAUUAGUCCAUUAUGAACUCUUGCUUGACAAGAACUCUAAUUCCUUGGAUGCUUGAACUUGCAUAUUUGUGGACUCCUUAUACGGAUAUGCUUGUCCAAUUCUAUAAGAACUCUUUCUUGAAAAGGACUUCUAUCUUGCUUGGAUGCUUGGCUUUGUAUAUUUUUGGACUUUUAUCUUGGGUAUGCUUUGUAUAGACUUUGUGGUCUUUUCUUCUUGAGACUUUCCUUAUUUAAAAAUUUCUCAUACAAGUUAGACUCUUGAUGCAAGAAUAUGUUGAUCAACCUAUUUCAUGUACAUGUUUCACUUUUUUAUCAAUCAUCAAAAUACACUUGAACCUAAUAAUUUCUCCCUUUUUGAUGAUGACAAACUAAUAUUCCUUGUGUACUAUGCUCAAUCUGUUUCGAUCAGUUCAGAGUCUAAACAAAGUAUCAAAAGACACACAUUGAAUGAACCAGUUCAGAAUCAAGGAGUAUAAAUAUUACAUAGUAUACACACUUCCCCCUUUUGACAUCAUAAAAAACCCGUGUCAAUUGUACAAAUCAAGUCCUUUGAGUUAUAAUUCUUACGUGCAAAAAUUAAAGGUGGUGGAAAUGAGGAUGUUGUGUUGGAUGUACAGACUCACGAGGGAUGAUAGGGUUAGGAAUGAGAUUAUUCGAGAAAAGAUGGGAGUGGCGUCGGUGGAGGAUAAGUUACGGAAAGUGAGGUUGAGAUGGUUUGGUCAUGUGAUGAAAAGAGGUAUGGAUGCUCCAGUUUAUAGGUGUGAGAGGUUGGCCUUGGAUGGUUUUAAGUGGGGUAAGGGUAGUCCGAAGAAAUACUAGAGAUGAGUGGUUAGACGGGACUUAGAGCAGUUAUGACUCAGUGAGGACAUGAACCUCGAUAGGAAGGUUUGGAGAAAGAAUAUUAGAAUAGAGGGCUAAGGUGUGUGGUCAAGUCUUAGGCUGUAGUUAAGAGAGUUUGGUGUGUCUUGGUUGGUAAUGCUAGGGUUGGGGGGAGGGGGUGUCCUUUGUUGGUUAAUGUACUUGAUUUUUGUGGUUAUUGUAUCUCUGUUAUUUUUAUCAUUUUGUAUGCUUGCGACUUUUGUCUAUGGUCCUUUUUCUUGAGCCGGGGGUCUAUCAAAAACAACCUCUCUACUUCUUUGAGGGUAGUGGUAUGGACUGCGUAUAUUUUGCCCUCCCCAGACCCCACUAUAUGGGAAUAUACUGGGUUUGUUGUUUGUUUGUUUGUUUAAGUCUCUUGAGUUAACAAUUUUAAGCUCAUGGUCAUUGGGGCUAUCAUCUUUACUAACACUUAUUAUUCAAAAAUCAGUUAGAUAUACAAAAACAUUUGCAAAGGGGAAUAUCAAGAAGCAAGAGACUAAAACCAAACAUUCUCAUUGAUGAUGCACCACAAAUUUUUAACAAAAUUUAAAAUAAUAUUAAAACACUUGUGAUGAAAGUAGAAAAGGUUCGAAAGAGUAUAGGGAUAGGAGAAUUGGGCUUUUGUUGAAGCUGGAGAAAGAGAUGAUGAAAGAGAAUCUUUCUUGAGCAAGUCAAAUCCUUGUAUGCUGCAGAGUUUGUAGCUUUUUUUUCUCUUUUGUUCAGCCUUAAGAUAUGAUCUUUUUCUCUCUAAGAUCAUCCUUCUCAAUAUUAUAUUAUACAUGAAUCAUAUUCAAGGUAUCAAGGUGAGAAGCACGGUGUGCUGUAAUAUUACUAUCCUUAGCAGUCAAGGCAACUCUUAGGUGCAACAAAAGAGCAUUGGACCUUCUUAAACAAGCAAUGCAACAUCUUGGUUCAUAAGCUUUAGAGUGUCUAAUCCUUUAGCUUGUAUAGUGACUAGAAAUAAGUUUUCUGAGAUGAGAUCACAUUUAUUUUGAAAUUAAUAUACAAAUAAUAGUGUCAUUGUCAUCAACUUUAUUCCUUGGUAUUAAAGAACUAAGUGCCUCAACCUAUUCCAUAGGUAAAAAUAUUUCAGACCUAACCCUCAACUGUCCAUCCUUGUUCACCAAUCAUAAAUCUCAUUCUACAAUGAGCCUAAUAGAAGAAAAGGGGUCCCCAAAUAUUUCCCCAACUAAAUGUAUCAAUAAAAUUUAGCCUAUCAAAUGAAUCCGGUUCAACUAUGGGGUCACUCUGAUCCCCUCAUAAGAUAUAUCAUCCUUAACUGCCUCACCAAUAUUAACAGUCUUAGAUUCCUCCUGAUUCACACUCCCAUAUGAUUUUCCCUCACUUGGUACCUCAAUUUUCUCUUAGCCAUACACAAUAAGAGCAUCUUUAUCAAUAAUAAUAGCUACUCUCUCAUAAUUACUAUUCACAUGACUAACUUCUAAAUCAUCAAUCAAGUUUGGCUUUGAGAAGAGGCGUGAUUAGAUAAGACUGACAACUUUUAAAAAAUAUUUAUCAUUACCUUGGACGUCUUAUUUUUGAAAGAGUGAUGGUUAUGGAAUUUUUUAAGAAGUCAAUCUUUUUUGGGCAUUUUGUAAGAAAGAGGUACGAGUGUUUUAUAAUUAUUUUUAAUAUUUGAAAUUUUUUUGGUACACAUUCCUCAAUCAGUUUUUUAUGGUUAACCUUGUUUCUAUUUUUCAAGAAUAUUUUCCUGUGACAUAGGCAACUAUAAUAUUUUAUUGCAUGAGUAACUUAAAAUAUACAAGACUGAGCAUAGAAUUAAAUUUAAUGUACAUUUCGUAUAGUGUAAUGUGCUAUAGAAAUAUAGCACUUUCGAUGCUUAAAAUGAUGAAAAGAUGCAAGUUUCUGAGAUUAUUUUUGUAGAUAUAAUGCAUUUUGGGAAUGCUUUGCAAGAAACCAUAUUUUGGAUGCUAAGUUAUGAAAAAGGUGUUUUUGGCUAAUUUUUUGAGCAAUUAUGGAUAUUCGGGAUGUUUUUCAUCUUGUUCGUGAUCAAAGAAUGUUCAAGAGUUGAAAAAGAGCCCAAAAAAAUAACUCCCUACACCUACUAAUUCAACCUACAAACCGCAGGUAGGACCUACAGACCGCAGGUAGACAAAGUAGGUGCUAGAGGUCGAAAUCCCAAGAGCUAGGGUGUAGGAUUUAUAGCUGUGGUCUGCACCUGCGCCCGGUAUCUGGACUACAGGUACUACCUGCACCCAGUGCCAGACCGCGGGUACAGAGAGUAGGUGGCCACUGACCUAAUUUUUUCCUAGUUCAUUCGGCUUUGUUUUUAGGGUUUUCUCAUGUAUUAUAAAUACCCUUUAUGUACUUUUUCGUAAGAGUUACAUACUUUUGAUACUCAUAAAUAUAUUUUAAUUCUAAUAUCCAAUUUUUUUCUUGGGAUUAUCUUGCAUUGACUUUGGUUCAUUAAUUCAGUUACGUUUGUGGGUUUUAUUACUUCUUAUCAUUGUGAUUUCAUGUAUGAUUUCAAAGAUGAAUGUUAUUGAGUUCUUCAUAAUCAUGAGUGGAUAAACCCAUAGCUAGGGUUGAGCAAAUCCUAGCAGAUUGAUGAAGUAGGGAUGUGCGAUUGUUGAUCUAAACCAAAACCCAUGGCAUGCAUUGCUUUAUCUUCAUUAUAAUAGAUUUCUUAAUGUGUGCACACAUUAGGAUCCCGACUAGAUAUUGUUGCUUACUCCAAAAGAGGAGAAGUGAUCAGGAAAAGAUAAAGACAACAGUAAUUUGAGGUUAAUUGUCAAUCCAUGAUUUAAUGGAAUAUAGUGAAUGAUUGUUAAAUUUUAUCUAAUAACUAGAGACUUAAAAGGUAAUAGUUAACUGAGAUCAAGAUAAGGGUUAGUAAGGCGACAUCCUGAAACUCAAAAGGUAAAGGGUGAAAUUUUUCUACUCAUCUAAAAGACUGUAGAAGGUACAUACUUAUCGAUUUUGCAUACAAGAUAUUGGGUUGGUUCAACAAUGCAUGAUAAGCCUACAAAGUUGAGAAUCCAGGGGGAACACAAUCCUAGUGUUAUCUUACACUGAUUACAACCGAAGUCAAUAUAGUUACUUGCUCGAGAUUACUACACAAAACUCCCCCAUUUACUUUUCUUGUUCUAACCAUUGACUAUAAUUGUUGAGUUAUGCAAAGCCACGUGUUCCCUUGGGAUUCGAGCCCAAACUUUGUUGGGUUACUAUAUUUUCACAACGAUCGUAUCAUCAUCUAAUAGAAAGUAUUAUUUGGACGUCAUCAAAAUUUUAGCGCCGUUGUCGGUCAACACAGUGUUGAUAUAUGAUUUAAGGUUGUUGUAGUUUUGGGGGUUUUCUUUUUGUUUUUAUUCUAAGUUGGGUGUAACACCCCAAAAACGGGCCUCGAGGCGUCACACGGUGCUGAGGGCGAUUCCCUCCUUGCGAUCUGUUCUGACCAUAAGUAGGUUGCUUGGAUUUGGCUCUCUUAUUUCCCCUUACUCUUAUCCUUCUCUUUUAUCUUAUCUGAUUCGAUCUGUUGGGCAUGGGUCAUCAGUCUGGAAAGAUUCAUCUCACUAUUAAGAAAUGCUGAUCUACACUCCUUAACCACAUAGCUUGACACCCCUGUCAAGAACUUACUCGUACUGGCUCGAUUGUCGGCUAUUAGAUUUGGGGCAUAUUUUGCUAACUGAUUGAACUUCAAGCAACAUCCUUAACAGUCAUAGAGCCUUUCCGUAAGUUCAUAAACUCCUCUACUUUUGCCUCUCUCAACUUUAGCGGAAAGAAUUUAUCCAGGAAUGCAUCCUGGAACUCCUACCAAGUCAUAGGAGCAACACCCUCUACUCUACCCUUUCUCCCUGCAACCACCCAGUAAUACGCAAGGUCUUUCAAUAUGUAGGAUGCUAACUCAAUGCUCUCCUCCAUAGACACGUGCAUUACCUAUGUGAUCUUUCUUAUCCCCUCUAGAUACAACUGCGGAUCCUCACCUACCUUGGACCCAUAAAACUCUGGCGGAUUUAUCCGUAUAAAGUCAUGGAUUCUUGCGGCAGCUAAGUCACCUCCCUUUUGUUGUGGAUCUGGGGCUUGGUUGGCCUGAACGUUGGCGGUAACAGCUUGGGCAAGUGCCUGAAAGGCUGCCCUGAACUCAGCGUGGGAUACAUUCUCAUUCAGGGGAUCAGUAGGCUGAGGUUGCUGACCCACAUUAUUUCUUCUAGGUCGGCGAGAAGGCAUAUUUUAAAAGAAGAGAGCACGAAUUAAUAGCUGGAAGGGAACAACUGUAAGCACGAUAGACUUCUGAAAGAAUGAAACGACCCCCUUUUUUUUCUAAAAUAUUUUAUAGCCUCUUGCUCAUAGAUGUGGUGCGCUACACACCAAUGAUCAAGACUCUACUUAACGCGGCUUGUCAGACUCCCUAGGACUCCAAUAAUCUUAGGCUCUGAUACCAAGUUUGUAAUGCCCUGAAAAUGGGCCUCGAGGCGUCACACGGUGCUUAAGGCUACAAGUAGCCCUAAGCUAACCCUUUUAGCCAUUUUUCUACCAUUCAACACUUAUAAUCAAAGUCAUCAUAAUCAAAACAUCUAAACAUCUUCCAUAAUAUCAUACUGCAAUAAGAAUGAAAUACGAAAAGUAAUAAAAUACGACAUCUCUGACAAAUAUGAUCAAUCUAUCCAUCUAGUCUGACAAGCCUCUACUAAACUGUUUAUCCAUGAGCCAUUGGGAAAAUCCCCAAUUGACCUAAACUCAGGAAAUAAACUGAACGACUCAAAGUAAAUGAGGAAAUCUGAAUAACUAGUCCUCGGACCAUGAGGACUCACCACUGCACAGGAUAUAGAUCAACGUACUCGGAUAAUCAUGGUCAAACCUGGGAAUGAGCACCUAAACCUACAUUAUAGGGAAAAUAUAGCCCACAUGCGAACAUGUGGGUCAGUACCAUGGAAUAUGUACCGAGUACAUGGGGGUGCAUGAAAUAAACAUAUUUAUAUGCAUAUAUAUAUAUAUAUNNNNNNNNNNNNNNNNNNNNNNNNNNNNNNNNNNNNNNNNNNNNNNNNNNNNNNNNNNNNNNNNNNNNNNNNNNNNNNNNNNNNNNNNNNNNNNNNNNNNNNNNNNNNNNNNNNNNNNNNNNNNNNNNNNNNNNNNNNNNNNNNNNNNNNNNNNNNNNNNNNNNNNNNNNNNNNNNNNNNNNNNNNNNNNNNNNNNNNNNNNNNNNNNNNNNNNNNNNNNNNNNNNNNNNNNNNNNNNNNNNNNNNNNNNNNNNNNNNNNNNNNNNNNNNNNNNNNNNNNUCAAGAAAAGUCCACUUUAAGGGUAAUCUCAUAUUUCUUAAGUUAAAUAAAUGAUAAAAUCCGUAACUUGUUUCAUAAAGUGGAUUUUAACUCUGUUGUGACCAAAAGGUCAAAUCUUUCUAUACUUCAUCAAAAAUAGUCUAAACAUAGGUGCAUGUAACACAUAAAUUCUCAAAACAACAAUCUCAAUGUGGGUUAAUGACCCUUAUAGUGAUACUUAAUUAAAAGAUUUCAACAUUUAUGCUUUAUAUCACAAGCAUGCAUAAUUUAUACGGAAAUUUAAAAAAUUUCAGCCUUUAAUCAUAACAAUAAUCUCAAACUCAUGGAGUUUAUUUUGUAAACAUUCAAAAUAAUCAUAGUAUCUUGAACAAUAACAUAGGAUAAGAUUUAUCACUUCAAAUUCAUGAUAAAACAUAUAAAAAUCAUGUAUCUUUGUAAAAUAAUGCAAACUUUGAGCACAAGAACGAAAAGAUGUUCUUGUUCAUAACCCCACAUACCUUUAUGGUAACGAAUUCGUUGAAAGAUUGGACCCUCAAUGUUGAUUGUCUAACCCUGGUUGUUUUUCUCCUUUAGUGCUCUUGGAUGAUGAACUUACACUGAUAAUAGGGUUAUGAUGUGUUUAGAAUCUAUUAAAUUCAUAAGGUUAAGUUUAGGGGUGUGUAAGGAGUGCCAAAAGACUUAAUUACCUUCAAAAUAACCCAAAAAUGAAGUGUUUAAGUCACUUGAAACCAUAAGAUAUGCGCCGCAUAUGAAAUCGCAUAUAUUUACAUAGGCGCCACAUAUGAUAUUGCCUAUAUUUACAUAGGCGCCACAUAUGAUAUUGCCUAUAUUUAGAUAGGCGCCGCAUAUGCUAUCGCCUAUAUUUACAUAGGCCCCACAUAUGCUAUCGCAUAUGCUUUUCAGUGGCCAUGUGCGAUUGGUUAUGGUAUGCACUCUACUUCGCAAAGCCAUAACUCCUAGUUCGGGUGUCGGAUUAUGGUAAAAUUGGUAUCAUUGGAAAGCUAAUUCGAUUUUCUAUAAUUUUGUGGCUAGAAAUAUGCAGAAAUACCAUAUAUUUAUCAAUUUAUGCUCAUUCAAAGAUGACCCUUGCGAAUUCAAACACUUAACUUGAUGGAUUUCAAAACUCUUACCUUGUACUACCUUAGGUGACUCAUAUAACCAGACUUAACACAUCAUAAGCUCUCUUAUAACUAGGGUACUCUUGGUAAUUUAGGUGCCCAAAUAUGGCUUACAAAUUGGGGUUUUCAUAUAUACGAACAAUGGUUCAUUUUCUAUCUUAGGAAAGUGCGGGGCAUUACAUUGGGCAUACACUGGUAUAUGCCUAGCACAUGGAGUAGAGGUAAUCCCUUAAUCCCCAUAAAUCUAAAUCUAGAGAGGAUCCCAUAAACACCUAAUAGGAUGUCUUGACAAAAGAGAAACAAACUUUCUGAUGGGGUUCAUGAUGUUAUACCUCCCUCUCCUCUCAAAGAAGUAUAGAAUAUUAUUGAUCGUCAGACUGGUGAGCUAAUAGCUCAAGAUGAAUCCAAGAUGAGGGCAAUGAAAGAAGCUUAGUGUGCAACUUAGGAGGUAAAGUUAUCUAAGAAGAGAUAAGCUGCAAACCAUGCGCAACACACAAUGGAAAUUAGUACAAAACUAGAGGUGAUCGUGUUCAAGUAAUUCCAACAUACUAGUAUGUGCAACUAUAUAUAAAUGAUAAAGAAGAUUUAGGAUAUGUUUAUCCAACAGAGACAGGAUCCAUGGUUCCUUUUGUUUUACCUCCAAGCAUCAAGUUAGACAUCACGAGCGCAAUGAUCUAAUUUCUAAAUCUGAAGGGUGCAUUUGCUGGUCUGCCCACAGAUGAUGCAAAUUUGCACCUUGCCAAUUUUAUCGAGAUCUUCUGUUUGUAAACAAAUUUAGGGGUGAAUAAGAAAGCACUUAGAUUGAGACUUUUACCCUUCUCACUUACAAGAGAAGAAUCUUUACGGCUAGGGGAACUGUUAAGAGGCUCCAUCACUAUAUGGAAUGAGUUUCAUAGGCAAUUCUUAAACAAGUUCUUUCUUCCAUCCAGGAUAUUAUAGCUUAAGGAUGUGAUUUAUAAUAUCAGGCAGCUGCAAUUAUAGUCUAUGUACGAGGUUUGGUUCAGGUUCAAGAAGAAACUGAGUAUGGUGCCCAAUUAUCAGUUAUCAGGGAUGAGUUUACGCGAGAUAUUCUACAAAGCCCUGACCAUCAUCGCCAGAGCUAUGUCAGACACUAUAUCUAGAGGAGCUUUUAUGAGACUACACUGGGAUAUAGCUUUAAAGAUGUUAGCUAAAAUCUCGCUCACUAAUCGAGGGUGGCAAACUCGAGAGGCUGAGAGGGAUCUAACACUUACGCUAUGGGUGCCUCCUGCGACCAGAAAGUAGUUGAUAACACAAUAACAUAAGAAAUUACGUUGCUAAGAACUAAUCUUGGGGUACAAUCAAAUCAUCUUGCAGUAGUGACUUCUGAGAAAGUGAAUGGAGGAGAAGCACAGGGGUCAGCUUUCAAAGCAUACGAGUUAGAAUUUAAAGAGGAAGCAAAUUACCUGGAUCAUCAAAUAAUGGGUUUUUGAGCCCAAGGGCAAGGGAACCAAGUUCGAAACUACUAUGACAGAUACAAAUAUCAUAGAAGAGAGCGAGAUGGUGACAAUAGAUAGAAGUAUAACUAUAGAGAGAAGGGAGAUAUAUAGAUUCCAAAUAAUAGAUAAGAUGCAGAAUCCAAAAUAGAAAAGAUAGUGGCUAAGCUGGUGAAGGGUUCGAAAAAAUAAGGAGAUCGACCUUAAGGAGAUUAAGAAAGACAUUGCAAGAUUGACCCAGAAGGUCAAGUCACAUUACACUGCUAUUAAGCAUUUGCAAAACCAGUUAGGAAAGAUGUCAGCAACUUUGAACCAGAGGAAGCCAGGUACCCUUCUGAGCAACACAAUGCAAAAUUUGAAAAAUGAUGUUCAUGUACUUGCUAUUACCAUAAAGAGUGGUAUCACUACUAUGAAUCCCCCACAACCUACUUCAGAAGUUGCUGAUGAUGAGAUACCUAUGUAACACCUCAAAAAUAGGUCUCGAGAUGUCACACGGUGCUCAAGACUACGAGUAGCCUCAAGCUAACCCUGUAAGCCUUCUACUAAAUCUGAAACUCAUAAUACAGAAAUAUAAGGAUAAAAUCAAUGUGAAAGUCUGUCUGAUAUAUGUUGAAAUUAUCUGAAUAUAAUAUUUGAGAAUAUUAGACUUAAAAAUCUAGACAAUCAAUACUAGAAAUCUGAAUCAUAACUAGCAGCCUUACAAGCCUUUACUACUAACCGCUAGAGAGCCACUGGGACAAGACCUCGGCUAACUCGAACUAACUAAAAAUAUUGAAUCAACUACUAUAAUAAGCUAGAAAAUCUGAUUGACUUGGUUCUCGAACUAUGAGGACUCACCAACUGCCGGGAUAUAGAUGGAGAUGCUCGAAAUCAAUCACACUGGUGAAACUGAGUACCUAAACCUACAUUAUUAAGCAAUGUAGCACAUAGACAUAUAUGUGGAUAAGUACUUCUGGAAUGAGCAUAUGGGGUGAAUGCAUAAGUAAAAUAAUGAGGGACUAUAUACAUUUUUCUUAUAAACAAUGCAUGCUAAGUAAUACUGGCUCACUUAGGCUUGAGUAAUUGAAAACUGUAAUCAUAAAUCAUGAAUGAUAAAACAUGCUAUAUGGAUGCUGUGAGCCACCACACUUAGUUCUAAAUCUACAAUUGAAAUCUAUUUUCAAAUCAUAUAUGCUAAGUGUAAAAAGACUUACCUCUUUAGCUGUAAACUGAAAGCUGAAAUCUAGUAGCUGAUGUCUUAUGUAAAGCAAUAUCUGAAAAAAGCUGUGAGUCUUUACACUUAGUUUCUAAUAGCUUUUCUGUUACGAUUACUCUUUUCUGUAGGGAGGUUCUUCUAACCGACAUACACUAUGUGAGCUAUCAUAGUAUCUAACGUCUAGUUUCCUUAUGGGAAAACCUCACAUUGGGGAGGGUGUAAUACUCUUACCAAAGAGUAUAACCUAAGAUAAGUGAUCACAUUCUGUAAUUGUCAUCCAUAUAGAAAUGAGAAUAAUCUGAACCUAUGUUGGAUCGUAGUUCUUGGGCAUGUAGACAUCCCUAAAUCGGUGCUAACUACUACUCUUUUUAAUCCGUAUGCUCAUUCUGUGGGAAAUCCACUUUUAAAACUAGUAUAAGGGCUUACAAUGAAAACCAAUCAUGCAUCUGUUCACUAUAGAUUGUAAUGAAAUUAUAAAGGGGAUUCCAUAUCUAAGCUGAGGAUUAAAAGAUCAAAUCUUGUUCAAAAUCUAGAUAUAAACUAAUUAUGGGAUGCUUAGAAGCACAAUCUUCUUGAAAUAUCAACAUUCAAACUAGGGCUUAAUGACCCAUGCUUCUAAUUCAUGUCAAUCAACAUAAAGUUCAGGCUAAAUAAUGAAAAUCUUGAUAAUUCAAUUCUAAAUCUGGAAAACAAUAAUGUGACAUGCAUAUAUGUAACACCCCGUAUUCAAGUACGUGUAUUGGCGUAUUCAAGUACGUGUAUUGGUCCUAUUUAUAUGGAAUUAAUUUUUUUAUUUUAUUUAUACCAGAAUUUGCCCAUCGAUGGUUCCAUGCGAAGGCUAUUGAAUAAGCUUUCCAACCAUGUAAAGAUUUCCAAAAACGGAUAGGUUUCGGAUAUAAUCGAGCACCUUCGAAACUAUAAAAUGGUGGCUGGGAUAUUUGGGAAUAGUAAAUGUGCAGGAAAAUUUCCUACACACAAACAACUGAGGCCAGCCGAAUUUUUGGGUUAAUUUCGAAUGAUCAUAACUCCCUUAAUAUAAUGAACUGGGAGAGNNNNNNNNNNNNNNNNNNNNNNNNNNNNNNNNNNNNNNNNNNNNNNNNNNNNNNNNNNNNNNNNNNNNNNNNNNNNNNNNNNNNNNNNNNNNNNNNNNNNNNNNNNNNNNNNNNNNNNNNNNNNNNNNNNNNNNNNNNNNNNNNNNNNNNNNNNNNNNNNNNNNNNNNNNNNNNNNNNNNNNNNNNNNNNNNNNNNNNNNNNNNNNNNNNNNNNNNNNNNNNNNNNNNNNNNNNNNNNNNNNNNNNNNNNNNNNNNNNNNNNNNNNNNNNNNNNNNNNNNNNNNNNNNNNNNNNNNNNNNNNNNNNNNNNNNNNNNNNNNNNNNNNNNNNNNNNNNNNNNNNNNNNNNNNNNNNNNNNNNNNNNNNNNNNNNNNNNNNNNNNNNNNNNNNNNNNNNNNNNNNNNNNNNNNNNNNNNNNNNNNNNNNNNNNNNNNNNNNNNNNNNNNNNNNNNNNNNNNNNNNNNNNNNNNNNNNNNNNNNNNNNNNNNNNNNNNNNNNNNNNNNNNNNNNNNNNNNNNNNNNNNNNNNNNNNNNNNNNNNNNNNNNNNNNNNNNNNNNNNNNNNNNNNNNNNNNNNNNNNNNNNNNNNNNNNNNNNNNNNNNNNNNNNNNNNNNNNNNNNNNNNNNNNNNNNNNNNNNNNNNNNNNNNNNNNNNNNNNNNNNNNNNNNNNNNNNNNNNNNNNNNNNNNNNNNNNNNNNNNNNNNNNNNNNNNNNNNNNNNNNNNNNNNNNNNNNNNNNNNNNNNNNNNNNNNNNNNNNNNNNNNNNNNNNNNNNNNNNNNNNNNNNNNNNNNNNNNNNNNNNNNNNNNNNNNNNNNNNNNNNNNNNNNNNNNNNNNNNNNNNNNNNNNNNNNNNNNNNNNNNNNNNNNNNNNNNNNNNNNNNNNNNNNNNNNNNNNNNNNNNNNNNNNNNNNNNNNNNNNNNNNNNNNNNNNNNNNNNNNNNNNNNNNNNNNNNNNNNNNNNNNNNNNNNNNNNNNNNNNNNNNNNNNNNNNNNNNNNNNGUCAGUUUUAUUUUAAAAAUUAAAUUUAAAAUAUUUUAUAAAAUCCACCACAAGUGGUCGGUUUGAGAAUUAAAAAAAUAAAUUUAAAAAACCGACCACUUGUGGUUGCUUUUGUAUUAAAAAAUAAAAUAUUAUAAAAAAGAGACCACUUGUGGUCGAUUUUUAUUGAAAAAUAAUUAUAUGUAAAAUCUAAUAUAUAAUUUUUUGAAAUUACACUGAUCACACGAAUUCGAUAACCAGUAUAAUAAUAAUAAAUAUCAAUCAAGCUUAGAUUUUGUAAAAAAAAUUAUACUGAGAAAUAUAUCAAAUAAAAUAAAUAAAUUACGUUAAUUAUAAUCUUUAUCUUUUACAUAUGUUUCAAUAAAUAAAAUAAAUAUAAUGUAGUGAUCGAUCGAUUAACAAUGUAGUCAAAAAGUAGUAGAAUCUAUCCAAACAUAUUGAAUACCUUGAUUUGAAACGAUAGAAGUAAUAAUAUACUGUACGUUGAAGUUAUAUUAAUGUUAGUUAAUCAAAUUAAUCGAUAACUCAUCCAAGUAUGUAUAUGAAAUACGUCGCAUUAUAUUAUUGAAUAAUAUACUCGUGUAUGUAUGUGAUGUAUAUAGUACGUAUUUAGAACUUGAUAUAGUCGAUAGUGUUUAUGUGUGUGUAUGUAUAGGUAUAUAUAUAUUAUGUAGUGAAGGUUUAAUAACAUAAGAUAAACUAACCGAUAAUUCAUCUGAGUAUCUGUCAAAUACAUUAUAAUUAUUAUGAAAUAGUAAAAUCGUGUACGUAAUGUAUAUAGUACAUAUUCAAGAGUUGAUAUAUAUAUAUAUAUAUAACUAACCGAUAAUUCAUCUGAAUAUAUGUGAAAUACGUUGUAAUUAUUAUGGGAUAGCAAAAUCGUGUAUGUAAUGUAUAUAGUACGUAUUAUAAAAUUGAUAUAUAUAUAUAUGUGUGUGUGUGUGUGUGUGCGCGCGCGCAUGUGUGUGUAUGAAUGUGUAUAUAUAUAUAUAUGAUAUAGUGAUCGAUGAACUAUGUAGUCAAAAACUAGCAGAAUCAAUCCAAACAUAUUGAAUACCUUGAUUUAAAAUGAUCGAAGUAAUAAUAUACGGUACGUUGAAGUUAUAUUAAUGUAAGCUAAUAAUCAAAUUAAUCGAUAACUCGUCAAAGUAUGUAUAUGAAAUACGUCGCUUUAUAUUACGAGGUAAUAUACUCGUAUGCGUAUGUGAUGUAUAUAGUACGUAUUUAAAACUUGAUAGUCGAUAGUGUGUAUAUCUGUGUGUGUGUAAACCGAUAAUUCAUCUGAGUAUAUGUGAAAUACAUUGUAAUUAUUAUGAGAUAGUAAAAUCGUGUAUGUAAUGUAUAUAUUUGAAGCUUACAUUUAUAUAUAUAUAUAUAUAUAUAUAUAUGUAUGUAUGUAUGUAUGUAUGUAUGUAUGUAUAUCUCUUGUGUAGUGAUGUACGCAAUACAUAGUCAAAAUUAGACACAUAGGAAGUAACAUUAGUUUUUUAGACGUAAAAAGUCAAUUGGUAAAUAAAUUUUUGACUUUUGGCAUAUAAGUGUGGUCAUUUGGGAAGUGAAUUAGUGAGUCGAAAAUGUUUUAAGUGUAGUUACUUGAAAGGUGGACUUGUGUUUUGAAUAUAGUUAAGUGUGGUCACUAGAGAAGUGAGUUAUUAAUUCAAAUACAAUAUUUUACAUAAUUUUAUAUUUAUUAAAUUAUUUUUCGUAAAUAUGAACAUUCACAUUUUUCAAAAUACAUUAUCUAGUUUAUUAUUAUUAUUAAUUUAUUUCAAAUUUAUUAUCGAUAAUUUUAUAUAAUAAUUUUACGUAACAUUAAUUUUACAUGCUUAGUUUAUUUUGAUAUCAACAUCAUAUUAUUUCAAUAAAAUAACAGGCCUAAUUUCUCAAUUUGUUGAUUUUGUAGCUAUCUUGUACACAAUUAAUGUCAACUUUAACCAAAUUGUUAUUUGAUCCCUUUUUAAAUAAUUUUAAUCUCAGCCGUUGAUCAAAACUGAUCCAACAGCUGAGAUCCCAUCACUCUCCUCUUUCCUUUUAAACAAAACCUAAACUCUAGUCCCUCCAUUCUCACCAACAACCGACCCUCCUCUCUCUCUCUACCUUCUCUCUUCUCUCUAAAAAACUCUCCUGUCGUCGCCUUUCUCCAUCACCGACGAGUUAUGACCAACCGCUGCUCUGCUGCCUCCAUUCUCCUCUCCCGUCGACAAGCCUCGCUGGAUGUGAUUACCGGCGGGCUCUUCGACUUCAGCGCUGUCAGCCUCCGCUCCACCACUGACCAGCGAAUCUCCUUCCGCCGUCCGCCUCCGACGCCUCCUUCACCUGCCAACAGUCCCUCCUGUCUCUUCAGCCAACAGUCCCUCCCUCAGUGGCAUCUCCAAGUAAGUAUUUUUUCCUUUUUAUCCUUUGUAUUAAAGUAACUAUAUAAAGCAAGGAAAGUCAAAUUUAUAGUUCAAAAUAUUAUUUAUAAUGUUAAAUUUAGUAUAAUAUAUGCCAAGUAAAAAUGAAACUGAGGGAGUAAAUUGUUAGACUCUCGAAAUUCGUGUUUGUGAUUAUGUGUGUUUGUAUGUGUGAGAGUAGGUAAAGAUGUCAAAGGAAGAAACCUGAAAUGCAAAAUCAAUGUUUUCGUAAAAGUCUUCAAAGAAAUUGUGUUUUAGUUCAUAUGGUUUUUCAUUUUCUUCUAACAUUUUUAACCCGAGCUCCAUCCUUUUUGCUACCUUGUUGACUCGAACCCACAAUCUAAGAGUUGGUGUUGAGGGCUGCUUACCAUCCGAGCUAUUCUCUCUUGUCUUCAUAUGGUUUCUCAAAAGUUUGGGACAAUAUGACUGAAUUUCUAGUCUUACUUCUUGAGCUGUCUUGUUUAUUAUGUGUUUGAUUCUCUUCUACAUGUUUACAUGUAUUUGACCUACCUAAAAUGUAACUGCAAAAACCAUAGUUGGAACUUAAAAUAGACAAUGUUUUACAAAUUGUACAGUCCAUAUUAUUAAUUUUGUUUAAUGUUGUGACUCGAUUCAUUUAAUGUAUUUUGAAUUGAUUUGGAUGGAUUGAAACUGUUUGCUUGAUUGCUGUGAAAUUUUGGUAAAGGAAAAUUUUUCUCUUCUUACAAUUUAAGUUUAGGUACUUGAAAUGUGGACUCGUAUUUUGAAUUUAUUAAAGUGUGGUCACUUCAGUAGUUAAUUCGUGACUCAAAAAUGUUUAAGUUUAUGUACUUGAAAUGUGAACUUGUCAAUUGAAUUUACUAAAGAGUGGUCACUCGAGUAUUGAAUUAGUGACGCAAAAAUAUUUAAGUUUAGGUAGUUGAAAUGUGAACUUGUCAAUUGAAUUUACUAAAGAGUGGUCACUCGAGUAUUGAAUUAGUGACGCAAAAAUAUUUAAGUUUAGGUAGUUGAAAUGUGAACUUGUCAAUUGAAUUUACUAAAGAGUGGUCACUCGAGUAUUGAAUUAGUGACGCAAAAAUAUUUAAGUUUAGGUAGUUGAAAUGUGAACUUGUCAAUUGAAUUUACUAAAGAGUGGUCACUCGAGUAUUGAAUUAGUGACGCAAAAAUAUUUAAGUUUAGGUAGUUGAAAUGUGAACUUGUCAAUUGAAUUUACUAAAGAGUGGUCACUCGAGUAUUGAAUUAGUGACGCAAAAAUAUUUAAGUUUAGGUAGUUGAAAUGUGAACUUGUCAAUUGAACUUAUUAAAGUGUGUCACUUGAGUAGUAAAAUAGUGACUCGAAAAUGUUUAAAUUUAGGUACUUGAAAUGUAAACUUGUCAAUUGAAUUUACUAAAGUGUGGUCACUUGAGUAUUGAAUUAGUGACUCGAAAAUAUUUAAGUUUAGGUAGUUGAAAUGUGAACUUGUCAAUUGAACUUAUUAAAGUGUGUCACUUGAGUAGUAAAAUAGUGACUCGAAAAUGUUUAAAUUUAGGUACUUGAAAUGUAAACUUGUCAAUUGAAUUUACUAAAGUGUGGUCACUUGAGUAUUCAAUUAGUGACACAAAAUUUUUUAAAGUGAAUUAGUGAGUCAAAAAUAUUUAAGUGUAGUUACUUGAAAGGUGGAUUUUUGUUUUGAAUAUAGUUAAGUGUGGUCACUAGAGAAGUGAGUUAGUGAGUCUACAAUAUUUAAGUGUAGGUACUUGAAAUGUGGACUUGUGUUUUGAAUAUUCUUAAGUGUGGUCACUAGAGAAGUGAGUUAGUGAGUCAAAAAUGUUCAAGUGUAGGUACUUGAAAUGUAAACUUGUGUUUUGAAUUUAGUUAACUGUGGUCACUUGAGAAGUGCAUUAGUGAGUCGAAAAUAUUUAAGUGUAGUUACUUGAAAAGUGGACUUGUGUUUUGAAUAUAGUUCAGUGUGGUCACUAGAGAAGUGAGUUGAAAAUAUUUAAGUGUAGGUACUUGAAAUGUGGACUUGUGUUUUGAAUAUAGUUAAGUGUGGUCACUUGAGAAGUGCAUUAGUGAGUCGAAAAUGUUUAAGCGUAGUUACUUGAAAGGUGUGCUUGUGUUUUGAAUAUAGUCAAGUGUAGUCACUUGAAAAAUGAGUUAGUGACUUGAAAAUAUUUAAGUGUAGGUACUUGAAAUGUGAACUUGUGUUUUGAAUUUAGUUAAGUGUGGUCACUUGAGAAGAGCAUUAGUGAUUCGAAAAUGUUUAAGUGUAGUUACUUGAAAGGUGGACUUGUGUUUUGAAUAUAGUUAAGUGUGGUCACUUGAGAAGUGAGUUAGUGACUUGAAAAUGUUUAAGUGUAGGUACUUGAAAUGUGAACUUGUGUUUUGAAUUUAGUUAAGUGUGGUUACUUGAGAAGUGCAUUAGUGAGUCGAAAAUGUUUAAAUGUACUUACUUGAAAGGUCGACUUGUGUUUUGAAUAUAGUUAAAUGUGGUCACUAGAGAAGUGAGUUAGUGAUUCGAAAAUGUUUAAGUGUAGGUACUUGAAAUAUGGACUUGUGUUUUGGAUAUAGUUAAGUAUGGUCACUUCAGAAGUGCAUUAAUGAGUCGAAAAUAUUUAAGUGUAGUUACUUGAAAGGUGGACUUGUGUUUUGAAUAUAGUUAAGUGUGGUCACUUGAUAAGUACGUUAGUGACUUGAAAAUGUUUAAGUGUAGGUACUUGAAAUAUGGACUUGUGUUUUGGAUAUAGUUAAGUAUGGUCACUUCAGAAGUGCAUUAAUGAGUCGAAAAUAUUUAAGUGUAGUUACUUGAAAGGUGGACUUGUGUUUUGAAUAUAGUUAAGUGUGGUCACUUGAUAAGUACGUUAGUGACUUGAAAAUGUUUAAGUGUAGGUACUUGAAAUGUGAACUUAUGUUUUGAAUUUAGUUAAGUGUGGUCACUUGAGAAGUGAGUUAGUGACUUGAAAAUGUUUAAAUGCAUUAAUGAGUUGAAAAUAUUUAAGUGUAGUUAUUUGAAACGUGGACUUGUGUUUUGAAUAUAGUUAAGUGUGGUCACUAGAGAAGUGAGUUAGUGAGUCAAAAAUGUUAAGUGUAGGUACUUGAAAUGUGGACUUGUGUUUUGAAUAUAGUCAGGUGUGGUCCCUUAAGAAGUGCAUUAGUGAGUCCAAAAUGUUUAAAUAUAGUUACUUGAAAGGUGGACUUGUGUUUUGAAUAUAGUUAAGUGUGGUCACUAGAGAAGUGAGUUAGUGAGUCAAAAAUGUUAAGUGUAGGUACUUGAAAUGUGAACUUGUGUUUUGAAUUUAGUUAAGUGUGGUCACUUGAGAAGUGAAUUAGUGAGUUGAAAAUGUUAAGUGUAGUUACUUGAAAGGUGGACUAGUGUUUUGAAUAUAGUUAAGUGUGGUUACUUGAGAAGUGAGUUAGUGACUUGAAAAUGUUUAAGUGUAGGUAUUUGAAAUGUGAACUUUUCAUUUUGAAUUUAGUUUAGUUUCAUAACUUGUGAAGUGACUUAGUGACUUGAGAAUGUUUAGGUGUAGGUACUUGAAAUGUGAACUUUUCAUUCUGAAUUAAGUUUAGUUUGGUAACUUGCGAAGUGAAUUAGUGACUUGAAAAUAUUUAGGUGUUAGGUACUUGAAAUGUGAACUUUUCAUUUUGUAUUUAGUUUAGUUAGGUAACUUAUGAAGUGACUUAGUGACUUGAAAUGUUUAAAUGUAGUUACUUGAAUUAUGGAUUAGUGACUUUUGUUUUGAAUUUAGGUACUUGAAAAGUGAACUUGCGUUUUGAUUUUAGUAAAGUGUGGUCACUUGAGAAGUGAAUUAGUAACUUCAAAAUGUUUAAGUGUUGGUAUUUGAAAUGUGAACUUGUGUUUUGAAUUUAGUUUGGUAACUUUGUGAAGUGAAUUAGUGACUUGAAAAUGUUUAGGUGUAGGUAUUUGAAAUGUGAAUUUUUGUGACUUGAACUAAUUACUUGAAUGUGAUUGAUUGUGUAGAUGUAAUCUGAUUAUAGCUGGAUAUAUCAACGAAUUAUUGAUAAUAGAAUGGGUGAGGCUGAGAAUGAAGAUGCAGAUGGUGAGAUGUAGUUUUUAGUCUUUUGUAUGUUUUAUUGUUUGGAUUUGGAACCUCUGAUAAAUUUCGUAAAUAAUUUGAUUUUUAAUGUUUGUAUUCUUAUGGUGGUUGGUUGAUUGUAUAUUAAAUGAUUGGUGGCCUUUAUUGUAAAUAAUUUGAUUUGAUUUUUAAUGUUUGUAAAUGAUUGAUGGACUGUAUUGUAAAUAAUUUGAUUUUUAAUGUUUGUAUUCUUAUGGUGGUUGGUUGAUUGUCUAUUAAAUGAUUGGUGGACUGUAUUGUAAAUAAUUUGAUUUGAUUUUUAAUGUUUCUAAAUGAUUGGUGGACUGUAUUAUAAAUAAUUUAAUUUUUAAUGUUUGUAUUUUGAAAAUUUUCAAUAUUUUUUAAAAAAAAUUAUCAAAAAAAACGACCACAUGUGAUCAGUUUUUCUGAAAUGUUUUACAAAAAACCGAUCACAUGUGGUAGGUUUUUAUAAAAUUAAUUAAUUUUUUAAAAAAUUGACCACUUGUGGUCGGUUUAUUUUGAUUCUUUUUUAUUUUUAAAAGUAUUUUUUCCUAUUUUAAUAAAAUAAUAAUAAAUUUUAAAUAUAUAUAUAUAUAUUAUAUAUAUAUUUUAAAAAACCGACCACACGUGGUCAGUUUUUAAAAAGCCAUCACAGUUUUACCGAUCACACACUUUGGUCGAUUUUGUAGUCAGAAAUGUGGUCGGUUUUUCUCCUUUUUUUAGUAGUGUUGUAAGCCAGAGAUUUUAUCAAUCACAUUUUGACCGUAAUUUUGUUGUUCAACACGGUUUUACGCUAAUAGGCUAUGCGCGUGCCUGGUAUUUAUGAGAGCUCUAGAGACUAAGGCCAAAAGUCUCAUAGGAACGACCUCAGUUCACUUCUCAUUUAGGUGAAUUCAUCAAGUGUACACUGCUUUAAAUACACCAUCCAUAAGGACUACGAAUUCAUUAAGAGUUUAUAACGCAUCCCUCAAUUUUAGUAGCAGUUCAAGCACUGUCAAUAAGUGCGCAGAGUCAAUAUCGACUUGUUACUACCCAUAUGAACCUACUUCAUGGGAUCUCCAAUCACAUAGGUUGGGUUACCAUCUCUAUUGACAAUCAUAUUGACCUUAAUCACAUCUUUUUAUGGUUUGAAGAAUUAAAUUUCUUCCCACAAGUUUAGUCAGUGAAUCGACCGAAUUCAAUUCUGACUUCACAUAAUUAAUGAAUUUUAUUUCAUCUCUCAGCAAUUGCUUAAUAACAUCAUGCCUCAAUUUCAUAUGUCUACUCUUACAAUUAUAAGACUUAUUCUUCGCAAUAGCAAUUGCGGCUUGACAAUCACAGUGUAUAUACACAAGAGGCCCCAAAUCAUCCUUUUUAAGGAGAUAUGAGGCGACAGAUCAUCCUUUUUAAAAGGGAUAUUUGCUAAGAAAUUUCUUAGACAUUUAGCCUCAGUACCAGCUAACUCCAGAGCCACAAACUCUGAUUUCAUAGUUGAUCUAGCAAUGAUCGUCUGCUUAGCUAAUAUCUAUGAUACUGCACCACCACCAAGAGUGAACACAUAACCACUAGUAGAUUUUGUUUCAUCUGAAUCAAAUAUCCAGUUUGCAUUACAAUAUCCUUCUAAAGUAGAAGAAAACCCACUAUACAAGAUACCAUCAUUCAUGAUUCCUUUUAAACAUUUCAUUAAUCUCAUUAAUGCAGAUCAAUGCUCAUUAUUGGGAUUAUAAGUAUAUCUACUCAGUCUACACACAACAUAGGUUAUAUCUGACCUAGUAAAAUUUACUAAAUACAUCAAACUCCCAAUAAUAUGUGCAUAUUUGGACUGAGCUAUUGGGUUAUCAUUAUUCUUUUUAAUUUAGAAUUAGCAUCAUAAGGAGUGGCUAUAGGAGUUACUUCCCAACAUUCAAAUUUUUUAGUAAGUCUUUUCACAUAAUGUUCUUGUGACAACAUUAUACCAUCUUUACUCCUUAUAACUUUAAUUCCUAAUAUUAUAUUCACUUCACACAGAUCUUUCAUAUCAAUAUUAGUGGACAAAAGUAAUUUAGUACGUUCCACAAUAUUUAAACAUGUACCAAAUAUAAGCAUGUCAUCAACAUAUAAGCAAACUAUCACAUAAUCAUUAUCUACCACUUUUGUAUAAACACAUUUAUCCACCUCAACAGAAGAAAAAACGUCUUUUAUUAAAACUUAAUCAAAUUUCUCAUGUCAUUGUUUAGGAUCUUGUUUAAGGCCAUAAAGAGAUUUGAUUAAUUUACAAACUUUAUUUUCUUAUCCAGAAAUUACAUAUCCUUCAGGUUGAACCAUAUAAAUUUCUUCUUCUAAAUCGCCAUUUAAGAAAGUUAUGUUUACAUCCAUUUGAUGGAUAAAAAGCUUAUGAAUUGAUGCUAGAGCAAUUAAUAUUCGAAUAGAAGAAAUUCUUGUUACUGGUGCAAAUGUAUCAAAACAAUCAAUAUUUUACUUUUGAGAAAAUUCUUUAGCUAUUAACCGGGCUUUAUAUUUAUCUAUAGAUCCAUCCGGAUUAAAUUUUUUUUUGAAAAUCCAUUUACAACCAAUCAAUUUUGCACCAGGAGGUAAAUCAGUUAAAACCCAUGUAUUACUUUUUAUAAUUGAAUCAAGUUCAAUUUUUAUUGCCUCUUUUCAAAAUUUAGCAUUAGAAGAAGAUACAACUUCAAAAUAAUUUGAUGGUUCAUUAUCAACAAGAAAAGUUUGAAAAUCAUUUUCAUAAGAAAAAUAUUCUUUUCUAUGCCUUUUACUCCUUCUCAGUUCCUCAAUAUUAGAGGUAGAUUCAUUUUAUCUUUCAACAGAUGCAUGAGAGAUUUUAUCACAUAGUGGAAAAAUAUGUUCAAAGAAUUUAGCAUUCUUUGUCUCAAUUAUAGUAUUAUUAUCAAGUACAUCACUUUUUAAUACAAGAAAUCUAUAUGCAGCACUAUGUUCGGCAUAUUCAAUAAGCAUGCAAUCGGCAGUUUUAGAACCUAUUUUUCUCUUUUUAGGUUCAGAAAGAAGAAUUUUAGCAAGACAACCCCACACUUUUAAAUAUUUUCAAAUUAGGUUUAGAACCUUCCACAAUUCAUAAGGAGUUUUUCCAGUUCUUUUAUGAGAAAUUCUAUUUUAUAAAUGACACACAGAUUAUCAGGUGCAUUAGAGCUAAUUAACAUAGAAUUCAUCAUUUCUUUCAAUGUCUUAUUUUUUCUUUCAGCUACACCAUUAGAAUCAGGAGAAUAAGGCAGAAUUACUUUAUGAAUAAUAUAUUCUUUUUCAGAAAAAGCAUUUAAAGAUACAUAUUCUCCACCUCUAUCAGAUCUAAUUCUCUUGAUUUUUCUACUAAGUUGAUUUUCAACUUCAGUUUUAUAAGAUACAAAAGCAUCAAAUGCGUCAUCUUUAUUUCUAAGCAAAUACAACUUAAUAAAUCUAGAGAAAUCAUCAAUAAAAGUCACAUAAUAUCUUUUUCGACCUCUAGUCAUAGUUUGUUUUAAAUCACCCAAAUCAGUGUGAAUCAAAUAUAAUAAUUCAGUUUCUCUAUUAACUGAAAAACAUGUCUUUUUAGUAAUUUUAGCUUCAACACAUAUUUUACAUUUAUCAAAAUUACUUGAAUUUAAAUCAGAUAUUAAACCAAGUGAUUGCAUAUUCUUUAUAUAAAAAAAAUUAACAUAUCCUAAUCUAGUAUGCCAUAAAAAAAUAGAAUCAGUCAAAUACACAGAAGUAGAAAUAUUUUUUGAAAUAUCAUUACGAGUACUAAUCAUAUAUAAUUCAUGAUUACAACGUCCAUUUCCAAUAAGAAUAUUAUUUUUAGUUAGUAUGACCUCAUUAUUUUCAAAUAUAACCUUUAUUCCAAUUUUUUCUAAUAAUGCCACAGAAAUCAAAUUAAUUAUGAUAUUAGGAACAUGUAGCAUAUUACUCAAUGCCAAAAUUUUACCAGAUGUGAGUUUGAGAAGAACUUUGCCUUUUUCAAGAACUUGAAUAGUUCUCGAGGUCCCAAGACAAACAAUUUCUUCUUCUUUCUCAACAUGGGUAUAUAAUACAAAAUUAUUUUUAUUUAUACAGAUGUGCUUAGUAGCUCCAGAAUCUACCACCCAAUUUCUCAUAUUGGUCUCAAUAUUCAUUUCUGAAAUGACCGCAAUAAUUAUAUUAUCCAUUUCAGUCAAAUUUAUUUCGACUUAGCGGAAUUGUCAUUUCUUUCACAUAUUCUUUUGAAUUGAGGUGCAUUGUUUAUAAAGAUUUUAUUAUUAGCAUUCGGCAUGUAACCAAGUUUAUUUUCAUACCUCUAUUCUGCAGUACCUGUAGUACCAUAAUCUUCUGACAAACUGACUGAAAUAGAAGCAGCUAGAGCAACACCAACAUCAAUAUUAUCAACGGUCUUAGGACCAAUAUUAUAUGCCCUAGUUUCUUAGAUUGUUGGGGAACAAUGAUAAAACAAUAAUAACAAUAUUAUUUAACUGUUGACAAAAUAAAAUAUAACAAUAAUAAUAUUAGCAAUACAACAGUGUAUGAUAAUAUUACUACUUCAAUAAUAAUAUUAUAAUCAAUAUAAUAACUAUAACAGUAAUAUAAUUACUUUUUAAUAAGUUAAUAAUACUGAAUAUUAAUAAAUAUUAUAACGAUAUGAUUUUAAGUGAUAUAUUAAUUAUACUUAAGUCGUGCUAGACACUGUCCUAAGAAACAAUUUCAGCAGUGUGAAAUGUUUCCCCUGGAAUAAACAAACACUUUCCUGAUUAAUUAAAAGAUAUUUUGAGUUAAAUAAAUCUUUCCUAAUUAACCAAAGGAUACACAAAUCAACAAAAUUAUUAAUACAAAUAUCACCAAGUUAAACACGAAGAAUAUUUAAUAUGUGAAACAAAAUAAAAUGAAAGGCAGNNNNNNNNNNNNNNAGGGAAAGAUGAGAAAAUGGAAUUUUUGUUAUCUUUUGCAGUGAGAUGAGGGGCUAUUUAUAGUACGAAGAACGAGUAAUAUUUAGACAAGUCUCGAGACACUUGUCUUCAAAAUCUCAUGCAAAAGCUAUAGUUUUGACAAAUGUAAAACUUGUCUAACACACUACUUGAUUUCUAAGUAAAUACACAUUUUAAAUUAAUUUUCAUAAAUUAUUUUGAAAUAAAAUAAUUUUGCCUACAGUAAGUCCUUCCUAUGAUGGACAGAGCUCAAAAGAAUUUCAUCAAGAGAACUACUGACAUUAAACAAGAGAUGCAUCUUGUUAGUUGGAAAGUUGUUACCCAAGGUCAAGGAGAUCGAGUGGAUUGGGAAUCCAUAGAGCUUGUGUGAAAAAUGCUAUUGUAUAUGCCUACAAAUCUGUCCGGGAGACUUAUGAGGAAUCCCAACUCCUCAUACAUAAAAACCGUGAUUGAUAAGAACAACAGAGGUAACAUGUGUCAUAACUUUUCACCUCAAUGUUUUUUUUUAAUAAACAAACUGGCAUUAAAAUCAUUUUAAGUAGUCCCUGCACAUUAAAAAGCCAAUAAAAGAAUACUUAAGUCAUGCCAUUUUAUAAAAAUGGUUAGCCACUGUUCAUUCAGUCCAUUUUUAUUUGUCAAAUAUUCUAAAAAAAAAUAUACAUUUUUAUUUGUUCAACUUGAAAAAUCAAUAAAUAAUUUAUAUAUAUAUAUAUAUUAUACUUUAUUAAAUAGUAUUAUUCAUUUUUCAACAUUACAACGACUUAUAAUAGUGAAGAUAACAUAGUAAAAUUUAUCAUUUAAUUAUGUUUUUUAAAGAUAUAUCAAGUCAAACAUAAACGUGGAGAUUGGAGUAGAAAUCACUCGGGCUAAACUCAUUUCAUUGGAGGCGUGCAACCCAAUAUAGGGGUGUCAAGUGGGUCGGGCCGAGCCAACCCGCAACCAGCCCGUUAAAAUUAAUCGGGUUGUGGGGCGGGCCGGGUUGAGGUUAAGUGGGCCGGUCCGAUCCGGGCUCAGCAGUAAAAAUUUCAAAAACUAUCCUAACCCGGUCCACUUAACCCAACCCAGUCAAACUCACCUAAACCCGGUCAAACCCGGUUAAAAAUUCGGUCAAAUCCGAUCAAAAAUUAAAAAAAAAACUUUUUUCAAUAUACACAAUAUAUACCCACUUAUAUACAUUUUAAAUACGUUAAACAAUAUCUAUACAUUAUAUAUAUAGUAUAUACUACAUUAGAAUUUUAAAAAUAUAUACACAUAUACACAAUUACACAUAUAUACGCACCAUUCAAUAUAUACGACUAGACGUACUACUUUAAAUAAACAUAUACUACAACAUAUAUAUACUACAAUAUAUAUAAGUAUAUAUAUAUUAUAGAGUUAUAUACUAAUUUAUAAAACAUAUACAUAUGUAUACAUUAAAUAUACACUUCUAUAAAAGAUAUAUACACAAAUAUACUCACCACUCAAUAUAUAUGUACUACUUUAAGUAAAAUAUACUAAAAUAUAUGUAUAUACUACAAUAUAUAUAUAGUUAUAUACUAAUUUAUAAANNNNNNNNNNNNNNNNNNNNNNNNNNNNNNNNNNNNNNNNNNNNNNNNNNNNNNNNNNNNNNNNNNNNNNNNNNNNNNNNNNNNNNNNNNNNNNNNNNNNNNNNNNNNNNNNNNNNNNNNNNNNNNNNNNNNNNNNNNNNNNNNNNNNNNNNNNNNNNNNNNNNNNNNNNNNNNNNNNNNNNNNNNNNNNNNNNNNNNNNNNNNNNNNNNNNNNNNNNNNNNNNNNNNNNNNNNNNNNNNNNNNNNNNNNNNNNNNNNNNNNNNNNNNNNNNNNNNNNNNNNNNNNNNNNNNNNNNNNNNNNNNNNNNNNNNNNNNNNNNNNNNNNNNNNNNNNNNNNNNNNNNNNNNNNNNNNNNNNNNNNNNNNNNNNNNNNNNNNNNNNNNNNNNNNNNNNNNNNNNNNNNNNNNNNNNNNNNNNNNNNNNNNNNNNNGAUAUAUACACAAAUAUACAAAACAUAUGCUACUUAAUAUAAUAAAUUAUUAAUAAUACUUGGUAGUAAAUUAAUAAUAUAUUAGAAGUAAGUUUUAAAAUUAAACUAGAAAUUCAAUUUAAAUCAUUAAAUGAAAAUAAUUAUAAAGUAAGGACUAAGGAGUGAAUGAAUGUUGAAUUUUAUUGAUUGCGAAUUGCUAAAUAAUUCAAAAUUUAUAAUUUACAUGAAUGAAAAAUUUACAAAUUAUGCAUCAUUUUUUCCAACUCAUUCAUGUUAAUAUUAACGGGAAUUUGCACAGGAUAGUCAAAGUCAACGGGGGCAAAACCAUGCAUUGAACUUGAUUCUGCUGAGUUCUCCCGUGAAGACAUAAUUUCUUCAAGUUUCAGCUCGUCGCUCGGUUCCGGUUCCAUUCCUUGGUUUCUUAUUUCCGCUCUGAUCUAAUCUUUGAGGCAAACUAGAACAUUCAUUACAUUGUUUCCCAAUGAGUGUCGGUUGUCUCCAAGCUGCUGUCGUCCCUGACUAAAGGCGCUCUCUGAUGCAACGGUUGACAUUGGAACAUUCAAGAUAUCUCUUGCUAAUCUUGAAAGCACAUGAUAUUAUGUUUCAUUACUCCUCCACCAAUCCAACGUAUUGAUCCGUCAUCUGCGAUCCUCUGGCGGCGAUCGAAGAUAAUAUUUCAGCUCUUCCCGAUAACUUGAGGUGUAAGUUCUCUCAUCAACACUGUUGCAACAAGAUAAAUCAUAAGAGGAGUCAGGAAAACCACUAUGUGUCGGCCUUUUAGAAGAUGAUGACUCCUCGGGAGGAUGAAGAGCGACAGUUUGAGUGAUAUUUGUAGGUACGACUAAGUCAAAGUGAUUAUAUAAUUUUUUUAUGUAUUCAUUCGUAUCACUCAUAACCGUCCACAAAUCAGGUUGUACUUGUUCAGAUUUAGAAUCAUUGUUAGUAUUUAUUUCUAAGUUAGCAUAAAUAAUAGUACUAAAGUGGCACAUAGUAUUAUAUUUUAUACAUGGAUUUAACAUAGCACCAACCGAGUAAAUAAGGGAAAUCGAGAAAAAAUAAUUUUUAAAUUUAGUAAACAUGGCACCAACAACUUUUUUAUAACCAUCUUUAUUUUUAUAUUCUUUAAGCAAACCUGAAAUAUCAGCUAUAUAUUCCAAAAUAUUACAAAUAGUAGGAUAAUACGCAUCGAAAAAUUCAACCGUAGCUACAUAAAUUUUUUCUAAAAACUUAACAAGAUCAUUAAUUAUAACCCAAUCAGAAUCAUGUAGCAUGUAAUCAGUAGAAUCAGUAGAUGAACCGCAAUACUGGUUAAAAGCUAGUGUAAUAGAAACUCUAUAUUUAUAACAACAACAAUAACAACAACAACAACAAACUUAGUGUAUUCCCACCUAGUGAGGUCUGGGGAGGGUAAGAUGUACGCAGUCCAUACCAUUACUUCAGGAGAAGUAGAAAGGCUGUUUCCGAUAGACUCCCGGCUCAAGACAAGGAGUAAUAAACAAAUACUUAAUAAAGCAUGGAACAAGAUGUCAAGACAUAAAUACGCCACCCACAAGGAAUAAUAAACAAAGAAUAGUAACCACACUCGUAAUAAGGCACGCAACAAAGUGUCCUAACAAGAAUAAUACAUCUAUAUUUAUAACAAGUCUUUAAAAAAUCAUAUGUAGAAUUUCAUCUAAUAUCAAUUUCCUCAGGCAUCAAUAUCGGUGCACGUCCAUUUCUUGACAUUUAAUUUUAAAUUCUCUAAUUCUUUUUCUUCGAUUAUUUCCUUAAAUAAAACCAACAACAAGACGGAUUUUUUCAAUAUAAAGCUCAAAAGACUCAAGACCAUCUUUUACAAUUAAAUUAUAUAUAUGACAUGCACACUUAAUAUGAAAAAUUUCAGGCAACGACAAAGAUAACUUAGAUUUUAAUUUUUUUAUAGCAGUCUUGUUGUUAAAAGCAUUAUCAAAAGCAAUACAUCAGAUUUUAUUUUCGAUACCAUAAAAUCCGACAACUUUAACAAUAGAAUCAGCAAUAAAAUCUCCAGUAUGUUUACGGUCUUCAUCAUAUAAAAAAGCAAGAAUACGUUUUUGUAUCACAAAAUUACUAUUCAUCCAGUGACAAGUAACGGUUAAAUAAUUAUUUUUAUUUACAGCACGACCAAGAUCAGAAGUUAGGGACAAUCUAUAUUGUGAAUGAAGUCUAAAAAUAUCAGAUGGACAAGUACUUCUAGGAACACCAUUAAACAUAGGAUUAUAAAUAGCUUGAAUAUAAUGAAUAAAGGCACCAGAAGAAGGAAAACUAAAAGGCAAACAACCCACAACUACCAUUUUAGCUAUUUCUUCCCGGUCCCUCAAUUUAUUAUAGUUCUUCAUUACCUGACCGGUUGCUGGGUCCAUUCUAGUUUGCGUUGGCCCAUCAACAUCCCCACCACCUCGUGCAAUUUCUAACUCUCUUUUGUGAGCAUCAUUUAUUUAUCUCAUUAACGUACCCGUACCCCCUUGCUUGCCUCCGCUUUUAUGCUUAUAUAUUUGUUGACAAAUAUUGCAUUGCACCUCAGUAUCUGAUAUACGUUCAAAAAAUUGCCAUGCAAUACUUGUUGUUUUACGAGCUCUUGGGGCAUGGGGAGGACGGGAAGGAAGAUUAACCGAUUCAGAUCUAAUGUUAGCAUAUUCUACUGCGGGUGUCUCAUCAAUAUUUUCAUCUUCUUCGUCUAAAUUAACCGCAUCUACUUUAUUUUCUUCUUUUAUACCAUAAUUUUUCUGAGUUUCUACAUAAUGCAUAUCGUGAACACCUACACCUAUUUCUUCCUCAAAAGGUGUACCAAGCGAUAUCGGAGGCGAAGACACACAGGUAUAUCUACUUCUUGAAGUACCUCUACCACUAGUAAUUCGUUUUUUAUUACCACUACUGCUUCCGGGAUAAAUUUUUUUAACACCUUUAGUAGCGAGAUUUCCUAAUUUAUCCAUAGUAUAAAUUAAAUUAAAAAAAUUUAAAAUACACAAAUAUAAUAAAAUUAAAUAUUCAACAAUUAAUACAAUAAAUAAAAAUUAAACGUAAGAGAUGGAAUGACAAUACCAAAUUUUGAAAGUAUCCGAAGGUUGCGAAUUUCGAAACUUCCACUCGUACUUUGUAAACGCAAAAUUAAAAAAUUAAAGUGAGCACUUUAGAAAAUUAAAUAUGUUGAAUAUUUGAGAAUUGAGAAUUGAGAUUUGAUAGAGAAUGAGAUUUGAGAGAGUGAAAAAUUGUGUGAAAAAUGAUUUGAAGGUGUAGGGUAUUUAUAGAUUUUUUUUGGGAUUAAAAAAUUAUUUCGAAAGUAAAUUUUUUUUUUUCAUUAAUGGGCCCAAACUAGCCGUUUGGACCCAAAAACGGCUAUAUAGCCGUUGGGCCAACGACUAGUUUGGCCCAAAAUCCCAAAUUUCAAAAAAAAAAAUUAAAAAAUUUAGGCUGGGCUGGGCCGGUUAAUCGACGAGCCUGAACUGGGCCGGGUUAAUCGGGCCCAAAUAAAAAAUAAAACAGCCCGGGACCCGGUACCUAAAGUCCUUAGACUUACCGGGCCGGAUCAAACCAGACCGAUUUCUUUAAGUGGGCCGAUUCGAGCCGGGUCAACCCGACCCACUUGACACCCUUAACCCAAUAUAUAGGCCCGCAUUGGACAUUUAUACAGAUAGGCACUUUCAAUGCUACUAUUUAAGUUUUGUAGUCAUUAAGAGAAGUUUGUGAAAAUUAGAUUAACAACCAACAUUAGGUAGCGAAAUCCUUAAUAAUCACUGAGAUUUCAAAAAAGCAAAAAAAAAAAAAAAUGAGGAAUUCUACCUAAGUUAUGACAAUUCGUUAUUUCGACUACAUAUCCUAACGGAUUUUCAAUUGAUGGGCGUUUUGCUUCGCCGUGAAUACCCAUUAAGAUUUGUAGUUAAAAUACGUUUUAUACUCUUUAGCUGACACAAGUAUAUAAGUCAUUUUAUACUAUUGAAACUCGUGUGCUUGGAGUCCAUGAUGAUUAAAUAAACAAUAAUUUUAUCAUAGCUACAAUUUUAGAGACGCGAAAGGUGAAGUCGAUGGGGUAGCUUCUGUAAUUUUGGAUAACCAGCACUAAAAAGGCUGAAUCUUAAGAUUUUCGUUCCUUUAAUAAGUUAACGGAAAAGGGCCACAAAUACCCUUGAACUAUCGGAAAUUGAGCAAAAAUACCUCACCUUUAGUUUUUGGCUCAAAAAUACCCCUCCGUAAAUUUUUGGCUAAAAAAUACCUUUUUUCUAACGAAAUGACACCAAACACGCCAUAUAAAUUAAAAAUGCUACAUGGCCAAUCUACAUGGAAAAUCACCUCAUUUAAUACCAUUUAACCAUAAGCCCAUAACAGCCCCAUAAAAUAGUAUAUAUAUAUGCAGCAAGGAAAAUCUCAUUUUGAAAGUGAAAUUUGGGAUCAAUUGAUUGGUUUCAAUGAAAUUCAAGAUUGGUUGACCAUGAUAAAUUUCCGUGGUGACUCUUCUGUUUCUACUGUUGGAAAUGUUCAUAGCGUUUAAGUUUCAAGUAUUAUAAAGCACCGUUCAGUGCACUAAACUCCUGCUAUAUAUACGGAGAAGUCAACAAUUUUUUUUUUUUUAAGUUUCAAUUAUUCUAAUUUGUAAAAAAGAAAUUAUAAAUCAAAAGAAAAAAAACUGACAAAGCUUCAAUGCUUAUUGUUAAUUAUUCGAGAUGUGAUUGUUUCAAGUAUGUAUACAGAAUCAAUUGUGAAUUCAUUUUGUGUUUGUUCAGUUAUUCGAUGUGAUUGUUUCAAUUUUUUUUAUUUUUUUUUUUAGCUUUUACAUUUUCGACCAAUUACAGCUUUGGUUGUUUGAAGCAUCGUAAGUUAAAUUAUUUUUUUUAAAAAAUUUACACGCUGAUGGUGACGUGGACUACCCAUGUGGCAUUUUCUGUCCAUGGCGUGUUUGGUGUCAUUCCGUAAGAGAGAAGGGUAUUUUUGAGCCAAAAAAUUUAAUGAAGCAGUAUUUUUGAGCCAAAAAACUAACGGAGGUAUUUUUAUUCUAUUUGGGAUAGUUCAAGGAUAUUUUUGACCCUUUUUCAAUAAGUAUAUAUUGUGAUGAUUUUAAAGAUUAAAUUUAUGUAUUUAGUACUGUUUUUAAGUGUUUCAUCUAUUAUACAAAUUCAUUCUUUUUGGAAAACCAGAUAACAUUCUUUACUACUGCAAAAUAUACUCCUCGGUGAUUGUAUCUACUGUCCAAGACUUAUUGCUCCUCAAUUUGGUGAUGUAGUUUCUAUCUAUGUAAUUUUGUUUAUAUCAAUGUUCGAUCCUACUUGUAAAUUAUGUGUACUUCUUGUUACUUGUUAGGUAACUUUUAUUUUCAGUGAAUCGAGAGAAAUACAACUAGAAAAGAAAACCAGCAAACAAAUCUCAUUGAAAUAUUUCUUAUUUUUAAUCGAUUCCUCUAAAAAUGGAUAAAAAAGAUUUGAGACGAUCAACUUUAACCAUUACUUCUAAUGGUUAUGGCAAUAAUUGUCAGUUAAUGAAGUAUAAUUUGCCACACUUUAUUGAUGUACAAAACGAAAAUAAAGGACUUUUUGGUUAGAAACACUUAUACCAUUGAUAAGUCCAUUCGGCAGGAACUUUCAUUGAUUAGCAAGUGGAUUUCCAUACCGAAUGCUUAGAGAAAAGGCAGGAAAAAACAACCCCCUUAAGUUCCCACUCGAGGAUCUUAGCAGUUCACUUGAUUGAAUACUUGAACUCUUGUCGGCAAGGGAUUAACUUUGAUGGAUUUUCAUGUGCAAACGUUGUUGGGCAUACUUAACUAGUUUCUCUACUUCUUUCUUGUUAUCAAUGAAACCAGUAUGAUCAGUAUCAGCAUCCUUCAUGACUCCACGAGCCUUCCACGAGCUGAACCACAUGUGUAGACUCUCAAGGGCUUCUGUUAGUUCUUCAGGGCUAAUGCGCUUGUCAUGAUCCAUGUCGAAUUGCUUAAUCCACACCUUGAAUUCCUGCACUGACAUAUCCCUAUCCGGCUGCUGCACUGGAAGCUCGAAACAACUCAUUAUUGCCAUCUCUUUCUUCACCUUUACUUAGCAAAGAGAACACUGCCCUUACUGGGGAUGUGAUGCCCUCCUGUUGAAACUUCCUUUGUAUAUUGGUUGGUUGUUAAAUUUGCACAACUUUUUUCAAGUGCUAGGGAAUCUAUUUGAUGGGCAUCUUUUACUUUUAAAUUUUUGUUCAAAAUGAAUUGAUUCAAUUCACUCUAAUAAUAUGAAUUAUUCUCCAUUAGUGGCUUUGAAGUGAUGCUGAUUCUAGCAACUUUAUUCCAACUCAAAUUGUGGAGAGAAA
rnacentral:lncRNA from 1 species